UUUUUUUUUUUGGUAGGUCACGGGGAGAAAAGCUCUCCCCACAAUUUAUUAAGAAACUAAAAAACAAAAAUCAAAUUCGGAUAUGCUUUGGAAACGCAGUUUCUCAGUCAUCAUCCUCUACAAAUGACGCCACAAAGGGUGGAGCAACAUCUAACAAAUGAAACCAUAAAGGGAAAGAAAAUGCAUAGUUCGCUAACCCGUCCGCAAGACGGUUAGCUUCUCUAUAAACAUGAGUAACAUGGACUAACCAGUCUCUUGAUAAGAAGCCAUGGCACAAUCGCACCAGGAACGAUAAAGGAUGAGUAUCACUAAUCCCCCUCGUUAAAAAACCCACCACCAACUCUGAAUCAACCUCCAACUCCACUCGCCUAAACCGCCUCUCCCAAGCAAUAUAAAGCCCGUAACAGACACCAAUAUUCAAGGCGAACCCACCGCACCAACGACCUUGACCAUCACGCACAACUCCUCCUACUGUAGCCAAUCCCGGAUUUCCCCGUGAAGCGCCAUCAGUGUUAAGCUUCAUCCAAUCUUCUUUCGGUCAUUUCCAGGCCACCAUUCUCUCCAUUUGAGUAUUCGAUCUGCCCGUAUAGCGAUUCAGUUUGUGAGCUUGACUUACUUGAGAAGCGAAGUCCUUAACAAACUGAACUCUAUCUCUACAUUUACCAAUCUCGCCAAAAACGUAGCCACACCGCCACUUCCAACUCCACCAAACCACAAUGGAGAACAAGGUUGCCCAUGAAUACCCGACCUCAUCAUUCACCAUUCCCAGAUUCAAAUAUAACCAACCAAGAAGAGACCCAUUGAAAAAAUCAUGUCUCCUGCGAACCGGCACUAACCUUCUCCAAUGCAAGACUCGGGGUGAGUCUCACACGGGGAUAGAUAUGGUGGCUUCACAAGCUGGCGAUCGCUUCUCUCUUGUGAAGGAAAGAUGGUCGAAGGUGGAAAUCUGACACGCUAGCGGUCGCUUCUCUCGUGUGAGAUCAAAUCAGGGUUUUGAUGGUGGAUUGAUGAUCGCCACUCAAAAGUGUGAAAGCCUUUGUGAUAAGAUCACGAACCUUUGUCUCAAGGAAUCCACACAAGAGACAUUGAUUCACACGUUUACUAAGUAAAGGAAUCUACCUAACUUAAAUAAACAAAAACAAAGCCUAAGCUUUAGAGAAAACUCUUUCUAUUACUUUCAAAUUUCGUGGUCCUUUACAAUGAAACAAAUGAGCUUUUUAUAGCUCUUACAUGACUAAGCUACAUUAAAAGAAAAUAUUCUAAGUUAAAUACAAAUCAAUCGAUAUAAUAGAGAAAGCGUGAUUGGUGGUGACGAUGAGGAACAAAUCGUGGGCAUUGAUGGAGCUUUAUCUCUAGAUGCAUUCUCUGGAUUAAAUGGUGGAUCAAGGAUUUCGAGCAAGCAAUACUCCUUAGCAAUUAAUGCUAAUUUAAUUACGUCGAAUAACGAAAGUUUAUUUCCUUUGAAUUUCUCUUUGAUUCCUUUUGAUAUUCCGGCCAAAGAUGUUUUGCAAGCUUCUUCUUCAUUUGGAGGGUUUGAAAUCUCCAACAUAAACGAUCCAAGGUUGAUGGAUGAUUCACUUUCCUUGCUUGGUUCGACGUGUAGUAGUUCAGGAAGUCCUUCAGCAAGUCUUUCAGGAAGUUCGUCAGAAAGUCCAUCAAUCAGUACAUCAGCAAAUGUGAUGUCCGCAUCAUACUCUCCUUCUUGAGAAAGUUUUGUCCUCAAAACUAAUUUCAUUUUUUUUUUUUUUUUUAAAUCACAGAACAAGAAAAAAAAAAUUUAAUCGAAGAAAACAAAACAGAAGCAAAAACGAUUGAUGAUAUAGGAGCUUUGAGCUCUGAUACCAAAUGAUGCAAGACUCGGGGGUGAGUCUCACACGGGGAUAGAUAUGGCGGCUUCACAAGCUGGCGAUCGCUUCUCUUUUGUGAAGGAAAGAUGGUCGAAGGUGGAAAUCUGACACGCUGGCGGUCGCUUCUCUCGUGUGAGAUCAAAUGAGGGUUUUGAUGGUGGAUUGAUGAUCGCCACUCAAAAGUGUGAAAGCCUUUGUGAUAAGAUCACGAACCUUUGUCUCAAGGAAUCCACACAAGAGACAUUGAUUCACACGUUUACUAAGUAAAGGAAUCUACCUAACUUAGAUAAACAAAAACAAAGCCUAAGCUUUAGAGAAAACUCUUUCUAUUACUUUCAAAUUUUCGAGGUCCUUUACAAUGAAACAAAUGAGCUUUUUAUAACUCUUACAUGACUAAGCUACAUUAAAAGAAAAUAUUCUACAAAUUACAUACAAAUCAAUCGAUAUAAUAGAGAAAGCGUGAUUGGUGGUGAUGAUGAGGUACAAAUCGUGGGCAUUGAUGGAGCUUUAUGUCUAGAUGCAUUCUCUGGAUUAAAUGGUGGAUCAAGGAUUUCGAGCAAGCAAUCCUCCUUAGCAAUCAAUGCUAAUUUAAUUACGUCGAAUAAGGAAAGUUUAUUUCCUUUGAAUUUCUCUUUGAUUCCUUUUGAUAUUUCGGCCAAAGAUGUUUUGCAAGCUUCUUCUUCAUUUGGAGGGUUUGAAAUCUCCAACAUAAACGAUCCAAGGUUGAUGGAUGAUUCACUUUCCUUGCUUGGUUCGACACGUAGUAGUUCAGGAAGUCCUUCGUUCAGCAAGUUCUUCAGGAAGUUCGUCAGAAAGUCCAUCAACCAGUACAUCAGCAAAUGUGAUGUCUGCAUCAUUCUCCAAAUGCCCGCUAUUGACGGACAAUCCCUUCGCACAUGCAAGAUUGGUUCGUCCCCACCUUUGCAGACCUGACAAACACUUGACUCUCCAAUAUGACCUCGAACUCGUUCCACAUUCGUCAUGAUAACCUGUUGAGUAACCAACCAAAGAAACGUUCUAACCCUUUCCGGAGCCAUCACCUGCCACAGUCUAGCAAAAAAGGAAGACAUAUCUGUUCGGCACUCAGAAUUUUCCAUCAACAUCUCAUAAGCCGACGUAACCGUAAAAGCACCAUCGGCAGAGUACCCCAAGAUAACCUAUCCCGCACGCCAGUCACGUUAUCUAAAGCAAUAGAGGCUAACUCCAACUGAGUAUUAUGAGAAACGUAGGGCAAAAUUCUGUCAAGUCUCCAACCCAUGCCAUCCACCCAUAGAUUGUGAGCUCGCAACUCCUUAUCUGUAUUUGGUAUCUCUAGAACUGCUCUUUCAGAGACUGAUACGAUAACCAUUUAUCCGCCCAAAAACGAAUUUCUUGCCCAUUACCAAUCACCCAUCUACUACCCCGAGUAGCCACUUCUCUUAACCCUGCCACGAUGCUUCUCCAAGUUGACGAGCAUGGCCUUUUUUUCUCCAUCCAAGUUCGAUCAUGAAUCUCUCCCACUUUAUACUUUUUGCGCAAGAUUCUAGCCCACAAACUCUGCCGAUCAUGAAUAAGCCUCCAGCCAAUUUUAGAUACUAGAGCUUUGUUCAUAAACUUUGACUUUUGAAUGCCAAGACCCCCCUCUCUCUUUGGCAAACAAACUCUAUCCCAAGCUACCAAAUGCAUCUUCUUUUUCUCUAACGAACUACCCCACAAGAAAGCUCUCGCCAGCUUAUCUAAUCCCUCCAACGUUGACUGUGGUAAAGAGAGAGUACUCAUUGUGUGUAUCAGAAUAGAGGAGAGAACCGACUUGGUUAGAGUUAAUCUCCCCGCAAAGCUUAAAGAACGGCCUUUCCAACCCGCUAGCCUUGAAGCCACUCUUUCAAGAACCUCUCCAAACGUAUCUUUAUUUAUCCAUCUUUCGAGAAUAGGCAUUCCAAGAUACUUCCCCAACUCUCUUGUUGAUUUAAUCCCACUCUCAUUACUAAUCAACUUUUCCAAGUCUCAUGAAACAUUCUUUGAGAAAAAUAUCUUAUAUUUCUCCAAGCUCACUUUUUGUCCAGAAGCUACACAAAACGUUUCCAAGAUUCUUCGUAUAACCCUUAUUUGAGAGACCGUUGCUUCUGCAAAUAGAAUUAGAUCAUCGACAAAACAAAUAUGUGAAAUCUUCGGCCCUCCCUAAGACAGACCAAUAGGCUUCCACUCUUUUGCAGCUACAGAUCGAUCGAUCAUGUGACAAAGUCGCUCAAGAUAGAGAACAAAUAAGUACGGAAACAAUGGAUCUCCCUGUCGAAGCCCACGUGACGGUUUAAAGCUAGCAGUCUUCUCUCCGUUCCAAAGGAUACUCAUAGACAGACCAGUGAUGCAUUGCAAAAUCCAUUGGACCCAUCUCUCCUCCAUACCCGCAGCCCGUAUCGUAUCCUCCAGGAAGUCCCACCGAAUACGAUCAUAUGCCUUCUUCAAAUCCAGUUUCAAAAGCAUCUACCCUUUUCUCCCUUGUUUCCUUCUCAUCGAGUGAACAGCUUCUUGCACCACAAUAAUGUUGUCUAAACUGAGCCUCUCCGGGAUGAAGCUAGAUUGUGCUGGACCAAUUAGCUUUCCAAUAACUUGCUUUAAGAGUAACACUAACAUCUUAGUAAGCAUCUUAAAAAGAGCAUUGCGCAUCUUAGUAUGUGCCAAACUUCAAGACUUGUAGAGUUUUGACGAGUGGAGUAGAAGACUUGGAUUUUAGGAUCCUCCAGACAGUAGAGACCUUCAAGUGUUCUUCCCAUUAUCAGCAGCUUCUUGGUUGCCUUAUCAUUUAUACGAACACUAUCAACAUCAAACUCAAUAGAGCACGGGUAGUCACUUGUGAGUUUUGAAACAGACAAAAGAGAUUUAGCAAUAUCAUGGCAAGCAAGAACUUCUUUUAAAGGUAUUUUACCUGAAGAGGAAGCAAUACUACCUGAACCAGUGUGAGUAAUGGGCAAGAAGUUACCAUCAACUACCAUUAUAAAAUCAGAACCAUGAUAGGGUUGAGACUAUUGCAAAACUUGGUGAUUAUUGGUAACAUGAGCUGUAGCUGCUGAAUCUGGAAUCCACUUGUGGCCAUGAUGGUUUGUAACAUUUGUAAUGCGCAUUGUACCAAGAGUCAUUGGUAAGUCUUCGUAUUGAUAGUUGUUGUCAAACCUAUGCCAACAUUUCAGAGCAUGGUGACCAGCUUUACCACAGAUUUGACAUACCACACUUGAGUUUUCCGACUGAGAAACAGAUGAAGAUAAAAUUUGUUGAUGAAAAUCAUGUCCUCUAGUCGAGAAUGAACUCCUGCCACGGCUAGAGUUUGACCUUUCUUUUCCUAUGUUGUUGCGAAAUUAGCCAUUGUCUGAGUGAGUGACAUUGAAAGCAACAUGAGGAGAGAUAGAUGCUUCAGUCACAUAGCUUUGAAGACGGUCAUCAUAGCCUUUUAACUUAGAAGCAACUUCAUCAAGAGAAAGACUUGGAGUAGAGUCAACAGAGUUUUCAAUAUUUGUUUUAAUUGGCUCAUACUCUCUUCCAAGACCAUUCAAAGCAGAAAAGAUUUUCAUUUUCUCUGGAACAUGGUUACCAAUAGAGGCUAACUGAUCAAAUAUAUAUUUCAGAUCUUUGAGAAAAGUUUCCAUGAUGUUAUGUUUCUUUUCCAGAGUUUGCAAUCUUCUUUGCAGUUCAAACAAGCGAGAGGAUGAUACUCUAUUAAAGUGAUUAGCAAGAGUCAUCCAUACCUGAUGAGAAGCGAAGCAGUUGACCACCACACUUAAGAUAUCUUCAGCAAACGAACCAAGUAACCAAGACUUAACAACUUGGUCUGGUUGGUGCCAAGUGUAAAACUCCUGAAUUUGUUCUUCAAAGGUGACACUGUUGUGAGUAGCAGUCCGAGUUUGCGUCAGAGCAAAGAUAGAACCAAUGACAAAGCCGACCAGCCCUUGACCAGAUAAAAAAUUCUCGAACUAGCUCUUCCUUCUAGAGAAUGUAGUUUUGUUGGUAAAGAGUAAUGGUGAAACAGUUGGAAAUAUUGAGAACUGGGUGGAAUUGUAUAAGGUGCCAUGGAUCUUACUUCUAUGAGAUCUGAUACCAUGUUGACAUUUCUAAACUAAGAAUGGUUUAUGCUCAAAUGAGCUUAUUAACAUAGAAAUCUAAAAUUGGAAAAUACAAUAGUUCAAUGAGCUUUAUUGAAAUAUAAAGAAGAAAAAGAAGCUUUAGGUUUUGUCACCAAGAACACUUAGAAGAAAAAUCCACCAUUUUCAAUGGAAGACAAAAAUCCAAUCAGAUUUCCCAUAAAAACCUAACUCUUCCUCAAGUCAUUGAAGAGCUAAAAGAGCUCUGGGCUAUGGUUUUACCAAUCAUAGCAAUAAUUUUUAUAUGUAUUAGCGUUCUUGGUGAAAUAAGAAUGAAGCAUAAUUGUUGUAAAUCAGUGACAAAUCUAAUAUACUUCAUUCUUUUUUCUCCAAGAAUGCUAAUAUAUAUAUAAACUCGUCAAACAAUCUAAACUAUUGUUUGUUAAUUGAACUUCAAGCAAGCAUUAUGUAUAAGUUUGACAUGUUCACAAAACAUGUUAAAUUCAUUUGGUGGUUGGUUGAGGAAGUUUUGCUCACCUAUGUUCUUUCAAACAAUUUCAACAACACAUUUGAUGGCACGUUGAAUUAAAUCUAAGAUCAUAAUCUCGGUGAUCAAUCUACACUACGCAAUAAGAACCACCAUAGAUGUAUAACCAUAUAUGUAUUUAAUAUUAAUCUUAUUAAUUCUGAAUUUUGUUGCUUUCAACUCAUUACCCCGAUAGUAUUUAGAAAGCGAUGUUGUUUAAACAUGAAUUAAUUGAUUCAACAUCAAAAUUCUGGUAAAUAUUGGUUGGUAAAUUGUUCAAAAUCGUGGGUAGAAAAUUAACAACAUUUCUUCGUUUAUAAACUAAAUUGCACGUUUUUAUUAGUAUGUGUUUUAUUUUACAUAAUAUAGUUUGUCAUACUUUUAUUAUAUACACUAUACAUUAUAACCGUAAUUCCAUACGAAGAAAACACAUAUUAUAACCGUAAACCCAAAUACAUAAUCUAUUAUUCAACUAUACGAAUUUCAUUCAAUAUAUAAAUUUUAUUAAAAAAUUGUCAAAAUCUAGUUAUUAAUAUUAGAACUUAUAAGAUGAGGACCCAAAUAAGGGUAUUAGAAAGUGAAGAUCACUUAAACUCUCUCAUACACAAUGAUCGAGGCAGCCUUAUCGAACCCUUUCUCCGACGUCGAUGAAGCCAUGGCUCGCCGGCGUCGGGAUUUGUCUUCCCUUUACUACGUUGUUUCUCUCCCAACACAUCCAAAUCCUUUCUCGGCCCAUGUCCCACGAUCUCCCAUGCCCACUCCUUGCGACGAUUCCUAUAUAUCUGAAUUUCUUCAAGUUACAAUCGUCUUCCUCUGCUAUCAAACAACACCGUUUGAUGCGGCUCAGCCCACUCCUGAAACAAGAUCUUCUCCCUCUAAACCUUUUGUGAUUCCUGUAAAUCGUCCCUCUCAAUGGCUCCCCUUGAAGUCAAGACCUGCAUCUCACAACUCCUUUCUUUGGGAUUCAAUUCCCCCCACCUAGUGUUUUUCUUGGUUUCGUUUGGACCGGAGCUCUGCUUUGACGCCGGAGCCGAUGAGGAUUUCGACGACGGAAUCUUCAACCCACUCCUCAGCUUUGGCAACGCUGACUCGACUAGCUCUAUUACCAAGAAAACUCACCGUCGGCGUGCGGCCACCGUUGACGAAUAAGGGAGGUAGCUUCCUAACCCUAAUGUUGCUUUUCCUUAUUUGGUUUGGGCCUAGCCCAAGAACUGUUUACCCUCCCUCCAAUCCAUUUUUCAAGUCCUCGAAGCCCAUGAACAGUUUUUUUAGGUUAAGCCCACAUCUUGUUUGGCCCAGGUUAGGUCUUUAUUUCACUCUAGCAAACCCAAACGUUUUGAUUUCUUUCUCGUCUUUGGAGAGUAGCUACCUUCCGAGAUUAGUUGUGAUGGUCAUUGUUUGGUUUUGGUUUUCUCUCCCACAAAGUUUGGCAAAUAGGUUAGCUCGUUGGUUUUAUGUUACAAAUCUGAUCUCAAAAAGCUUUGGGCUAACUCCACUUUUGAAGUGUUUUAGAGUCUUGAUGCCCAUGAUCCGUAUUGUUAUGUUUCUGUCAAUUACAACCCCUAUAGCACCCUUUAACUUUGUUUUGGCUGGUCGUGGACUCCACGCUAACAGAGUAACAGUUCUUUUAGGCUGUUUUGAUAGAUACUUUUGUCGAGGUCAUUUGUUAAUUUUGUUUCGAACCCUAUUUGAGACUAUCAUCCCAAACCUUUGGCAAUGUCCAAAAGAGUGAAGAAGAACGCCAUUAUGAUCCCAUCUCCACGGAGCGGUGGUUACCGAAGCUUCUUCAACUCUCUACCUCCUUACCCGCCAAUUACCAAGCUCCUUCAAGGUAUCUUCAAGUAUACGGAUAAGUUGCAAAUCUGUGAAAGCUUGGCAAAGAGCGGCGUUAUGAUCUACCCUUUAUUUUCUCCCGUGGAGCACCUUUUCAAAGGCUCAUAUGCAUUGUUUGCAAUAGCCGUUUAUGACCACACGUUGGUCGAGGAUUUCGCGAAGCCCGUCUUCAUGGUCGAAUCCGCCAAAGCCUCAACAGAUUUUUCAAACCUUGUAAACUUUUUUAAAAGUGAACACCUCUUUGCAAAACUCAUGAAGCCUCUAUCUUCAUUUUCUUGUACUAUCUUAGUUCUAAUUUGUAUGAACUUCCCUUUUUUUAGGCUUAAGUGAAUGAAAAUUAUUGUUUGAGAAAAAAAAAAAAUAAGAUGAGGACCCAAAAGCUCAUAGUUCGUCAUCUGUAACAUGCUGCAUUUUUCAGGCAAAGCAAUCCGACUAAAAUCAAGGAGAUGUGGAGGGGAGAAGCUUCCGCCUGAUACCAACGGUAAGAGCUCCACAUGCGGUGUAGCGAUGCAGAGUAGAAAAGGGAGAUCUACGGCGAAGAACGAGAGAGACAAGUAGAUAGAUCUGAGACCGAAAAUUGUGGCGGUUCCACGAGAUCUUUGUCGAUGGGGGAGGUAUAUUUGAUCCGGCAAAGCGAAGCCAACGUCGAAGGUCUCUGUUUUCUAUUCCCUACUAUUUUCUCUCUUUCAUGACUGAGCAAGGAUCUCUUCAACAAAAACGAGAUCGGCUCUCUUCCUCCUUCUCAAAACAACUCUACAGUGGCGGCAUGGCAACAAAUUUUGGAUCACCAUCUCGUUUGGCUGUCCUAUUUCAGCGAGAAUCUGCAGUUUUGGACGGCGGCUCGAUCAUGUUUUUUGAUUGAGAUUAGGGUUUUCAAUCUUGGUUAGUUAAAUUCGGUUUGUAAAUUUGAGAUGGCUUUAGUUUUGAGCUGCUUUGUUUAUUGUAUUGAAGUUUGUGGAUUGGGUUUUUGCGAUUUUGUAUAUGCUCUAUCUAGAAAUAGCCCAUUAGACAUUAUAUAUAACAAAAAAAAAACAUGAAAAACACUAGAAAUCAUACAAUCAAAUCCGCAUACCUGAAACUUAAAAGACUGGCACAUUCGCUAAUAAUGAAACAUGCAUCAAUGGUCUCUCAAGAGUCAUAUUAUUUGCAUAAGUUGAUUUGUCCCUGCAAAUUCCAAUACAAAGCCUUGUGGACUUAAUUAAGAUAAUAGAUGUGAAAAUUCAAACACAUGAAUCUGUUUAAAAGACAAAAUAAACGUGGCAUUAUAUCAAACAUCUUGUAAUUUCAUAUACAUAAAUAUCAAAUUGAUAUUUCCCUCUCUUUGAGAACUGUCCUUACGAAUUCGUUUCUAAAUAACAUGUUUUAGAUCCUAACUGUUUGUGUUCUUAUGUGAUGGUUUUUUAGGGACCGGUAGGUACAACGUGACUCAUUCUUGUGAGAAUCCAAGUUUUGAACUAUGAUUUAAAGUCACAAUAUAUGGUUACCAUCUCAAAUUUUAUGUAGAGUGCAACUUUUUCUUGAAUUGGCGUGUGUUUGGUCUUCUCGAACUUGCUUCUAACGCUAUUUCAAACUUGGAAAAUUUUGAUUUUCACUCUUUAUCAUCUUGUUUGUUCAAUGAGAUUAGCCGUUUUGUUUGUAUAUUGGGUGUGUCCAAUUAUGCUCUUUUCUUAUGUUAUUGUUUAUGAAUAACUUGUUGAACAUUUUACUUAUCAAUUCACUCCAAUAUAUCCUAAAAUUGGGAUAUGCUCAAAUCACAUCUAGAUCUCAUGAUUCAUAUUUCUAUACCAUUCUUUCGAUUUUGAUCUUGUUUCUGUCUACACCUCCUGUAAAAUAUAUUUUUUACACAAAAUGUAUUUAAAACCCAUUAUACAAAAUAAUAAACUCCAGUAAAGUGAAGAAUUACAAGUAGAAGAAAAAAAAAAGACAUCUCGUACAAAGUCAGAAUUGAGAGAGCCCUAAACACAAGGAAAAAAACAAGAACAACAAGAAAAAGUCCACUUUGUUUGGUUUUAGACAAAAACAGUAACUUACUUUUUUGGUCAAACUCUGUAGAAAGAAUCAAUCUCCCUUGUAAAUCUCACCCUCCUGUCACCAUCUUCCCUCCGUCACUUUCCCAAUUUAAUUUAUAAUCAGAAACCCUACAUAUACACCUAGGUUUAGGGUUUCGCUUUUUCAGAGAAAAAUAGUUUCUUUUUCUUCAAGUUAAAAAAAAAAAAUUAUUAAUCUGGUACGCUACAGUGCACCGAAAUCCCAUAGAUGUAUAAUACUCUGAGCCGUUGAUGAAGCUGACGCAACCGCCACAUGUCUAUCAUCGGCAACAAUGGCGUCAACUUCUCCUACUCUCUCCCUAAUACUGUACAGAUACUCUCCUCUCUCUACCUCCCACACGCGCAUUAUACCACCUGCGCACAUUAGCGCGUGCAGUCUAUUAACACAACCCAUUACUCUUCUCUGCGCCGCUCCACUAACACGGAACUCACACACCGUUUGUUGCGUGUUCACCCUUCGCACGCUAGCGUUUCCUCUACUGUCCAAUCUAACGUACGCUUCGUCGUUGGCAUCGAAGCCUGUCACUAUUAGUCCUCUACGUUGCUCUUCGUCUUCUCCGAUGAUCACUCCUUGGUUUCUUAGAUCGAUCACCAUGAUUCUCCAUCUCGUGCAUGCUACCGCCGUCUCGUUACCGGAGAUUCUGAGACGGCCAAGGGACGUUGUUAGCUCUGUUAACGUGUGCCAUCCCAUGACAGCUUCAGGGUCGGUGAGUGUACCACCGACGAAUGUUGUCUCUUCGCUGUUACAGUCCCAUAUGUGAAAGGCACGACCUGGCACACCCGCGAAAAGACCGACCCACCAACGUCCACAGCCAGUGAAAUCUACCAACGCACCGUCGUUAACUAUAUCUCCUGCGUAAGCCGUGCGUGUGUGACCAACACCGUCUAUUUCCGCCACGUGGAUGUCUCCGUCCAUCGUAGCGAACGUGAGCCUUGAGUCGGAGAUAACAAUGCCUGAGACGGCUCGUGAGAAUCUACCAAAGCGGUCACGUAGAGGUGGCCGUAAGGUCCUGACGUGGAGUCGGUUGUUUAAAAGAAAAAGCCGGACGGUUCCGUCGGCGAACCCUGCGGCUAAGUAGAGGUCUGAGAGGGUGAGACAACGGCAAGAGAGACUAUCAGGCUCGUCCACAUCAGACGGGUCAAAUUGGAGAGUGAAGUAGGUGUGAGUACGCGUCCGGAAGUUUCUAGCCGUCCGAUGACGGUAGAUGAACUCGUCCCGCCACGUGUCGUGCAUCAAAUGUGUUCUUGCCCAAACUUGGCGAGAUAGUAGUUGCCAUAGAUGGUCGGAGCGAGAGACAGCGUGCCACGUGGUGCAAACCUGCGAUUAAGAAAAAUUAUUAUAAGUUUUAACAAAUAUUAUAAUUAGUAGCUUAAUUAAUAAAUGUAUAAAUAAGGGAGAGAGUAAAAAAAGACAUAGAAAGAAGAUAAGUAGGCCUGCAACGAAGCAUGAAAGACUCUAUAUAUAGGGACUAGGAAGAUGGAAAGACAACGACAGACUCAGACACAAGCUCUGCGUAAUAUUUGUCUUACUCAUCGAAACACACAACUCAUUUUUAUAAAAAUCUAUUUUAUGACAUAUGUUCAAUUGACGGGACUAAUCAAUCUCUGGAAGCUAUAGAUAGAGAUAUAACAACAGAAGCCCUAGUGUAAAAGGAAUAAUGAGAGGAAGCCCUAGUCCCAUGUCAAAAGAACAAAAAACAAAUCAAUGUGACAAUAAUACAAAACAGAUGAUAUGUUAAUUUAUUAGGACAGAUGAGAAGACUUUAAAUGAGUUAAGCUGAACAUGAGAUUCCGACUUUGCCAACAAGCGUGCCCUUCUCUCUUUCAUUUCCAAGAAAGGAUAGCUUUUAAGCCUUUGGUCUUGUUAAAAGUAGAGCUUCCCAUAAAUACACAAAUAUUACACUUAUAUAUAGUAGAUGUUUCUCUGUCUCUCUCAUCCCUCUCCAACAAUCCGUGGACCUACAUUCUCUACAUUUACGUUUAUAUUGUUAUUUAUUGUACAUCUUUAUUCCUCAUUAAACGCAAAGUAAUGUAUUUGACUUCGUACUCUAGCUCUAUAGUACAACCUAAAAUCAAAUAUUUCGAAUUCUAUACGAAAAGAAAAGAUAUCUUGUCAAACCAAAGGUUUAAUGUCUAUUAGUCAGAUAAUCAUUAUAAAAAAAGAAUAAUCUAGGCACUAGGGCACGAAAUGUAACAUAAAAUAGAUUAGUACAACAAAUAACAUAUGAUGGAAUGGCAAAUCCUAUUUAUUAUUAUGCAAAUUACCAAUCACAUCAAUAUGAUAUACUUCAAAUAAGAAGGGAAAGAAAGUAGUUCAAAUAUUCCUGAGUUCUAAGAUGACCAGAUUCAGAAUAUCACUUUUGUAUUUUAAUGUGUGAUAUAUCAAAUGUAAGAACAUAGUAUAUAAUCUAUAGACACCACUGCACGUGCUCUAAGAGACCCUUAACAUUGGGUUCCAUGUGCUUUUCGGCAUAUGUAUGCCCAUAAUGUCGUCUCUUUUGACUGAAAAAAAUUAAGGAAAGAAAAAAAAAAGAUAAAAACCCACUUCAAUGGAAAAGAUGAAUCGAGUCAGGAAAAAAGAUAAUUCCAUGAUCAAUUUCAAAGUAAAAAACAACAAUGAAAACUCUAGACUUAUAGCCUUAAUUCUCUGACAAAAGUGUUAUGCUGUAACUACACUGCAGUUUCUUAAAAUUUUAGGGCAAAUUUGAAAAUUCAAUUAAUUAGAAAAUAUUAUGGGAUUUAAUAAUGAUUUAGAAUUAUCAUGUAUACAUAGAGAAGUGAGAUAAAAUAAGAGAAUGAGAAGUUGUCAGAAGCUCUGCAUGCAUUACUCAGUGGAUCAUAAUAUUGGCAGAGAAAAAAAUAACAAAAGCAGGACGCAAAAAAUGUACAUAUGUACUUAUAUACUAUUCCUCGUUACUAUAUAUGAGAAAAAUCUUCAGCAUAAUAUAUAUAUGUAUUAUUUGUUUUUUUAUGAACAAAAGAAAAAACAGCUAUUUUCAUAUAUAACAUAGGAUUAUUAAAAAGAAUAAUAUGAAUGCCUGAUAUAAUACAUGGAUCAUAUAUCUGUUGAUGAAUAGAGUUUUCAUGUAUGUAGAAAAUAACCUAAUGUGGUAAUAUAGGACUAACAUUGGCAAGGCAAAAAGACAGGACCUUACUUAGGUUUCUUUUCAUUCUCUUUUUAGAUGUUGUUAAAUGUGCAACGACAUUUUCUAGUUUUAUGAGUCUGUCGUGAGAGGUCACUUUCUAUUAUUAUAAUUUUAAAACAAUUAGCAGAUAAAUACCGUUAUAAUUAUAAUUCUAAAAAAUAUUAAAUCUAUUGGGCAUUGGACUAAAGACUGUGCCUAAUGUCUAUCAACCAAUAUUUGGAGACAAGAAAGUGUUUAAUUUGAUUAUUAUUGUAAGAACUUUUGAGUCAAAAAGUGGAUUUCUUGAUCUUAAAAAAGGGCUUUCUACAUGCCAAGAAAGGAAGAUUUAAAGCCAAUAAAAUAAAAUAAAACCUUGAUUUUGUGCCCUAAGGGAUCCAAUUCAUAAUAUAAUAUUAAUAUUAGAGUUACUAUGCCCAAAUGUUGUACAAAGAUUACACAAACGAGAUGGGGUUGUAUGGUCUCCUUAGAGGAUCCAAAAAUAGACAUUAAAAGGUAUCAAAAGUAGACGAGAGAACAAUGAAAAAGAAAUAAACUUAUUGGGUAAAAAUGGAAGACAAAAAGUUUCUAAAUACAUAAAAGAAAAACAAAGUCCCCAAACUAUAUGAUAUGUGAAAGAGACAUCAAAUUAAUGUCGUCUUGUUAGACAUAAAAGUUGGACUUGGACCCAUCAUAGAAACACAGAAAGGGCGGUUACCUUUCCAAAGGUCAGUUUUUUUUUUUUUUUGUCUCUUCAGAAUCCCAACCUUACAAACUAAUAUCACAUUCAAUCGAAUUGAAGUAACAUCAUCACUUAAUUAUGAUCUAAAGAGUAAGAAUUCGUUAUACCAAAAAGAAUUAGAACGGCAGAAUCAAAUCUAAGCUUAGAAACAACUAAAGUACAAGACACUUGAAACAAGCAGUACAUUUGACUAGACCAAGAUUGUGUCCCUCCACUUAAGUUAUUAUAGACCCACGACUACUUUGACUUUGUUUUGUCUGCAUAAGAUCUAUGUCUCACUAUUUUCAAGUUCAAAUAUAAGCUAAUAAACGAAUUCAGAUAGUGUAACGAAAAUAUUACUUUACUACCUGAAGUACAUAUAUAUAUAGAGAGACACGAGAUAAUUGAUGUGUCUCGACCGUUACAAAACUAAAAGAAGGUAUUCAAAGAACGUUAGAACUGACCCGAAAAACGUUGGCAAGAGCCGGAGCUGCGGCGAGGAGGCCGGCGGAUGUGGAAGCGUUAACGGCAACUUGAACGGCGAGAGAUUCAAGAAAAGGCUCCGGCCAAACAUCGUUGGCUCCGCGGCGAGGGCGGGAUGGAGAUGGGGCCUCGAAAACGCCGCCGCUUCCACCGGCUCCGUUGUCGGAAGAAGAGGAGGAGGUAGACAUGAGACGAGAGGGGUUAUAAGAGGAACAGGGGAAGAAGAAGAAGCGGAGAGAGGAGAAAGAAUGGUGGGGGAGAGAGGAAACAAAGGACAAAAAGUGUAGAUAAAGACAUACUUCUCCGAGGUGGGGGACCCAGGUUGUGAAGGUAUGUUUUUUUCCUAUUUUUAUUUUCUUUUGUCAAGAUUUGUUAUUAUUUGUUUUUGUUUAUUCUUAAUAGAUGCAGAUUUGUUUGUGAAAUAGCUUCAAUUUUAUAUUUUUUAGGAAAAGUAUUGGUUCAGUAUGGUGACAUAUUUCAAAAUUUCUUUCUUUUGAUAUGCAGAUUUUGAAUUAUAAUGGCAAUAUAACAGCUAUAUUAUUAUAAAUCACUAGAUUUAUAUUUUGACGAUUUUUUAUAUUUAAAAUAGUGUUAUAUAUCAUUAAGAAUUCAACAAUAUAUUUGCUAAGUUUAUUUCCUUCCGCGAACAUUAGUAAAUUUUUUGUAUAUGGUAAACUAUUGGCUAAACACAAAUAUUUGUAGAUCGAUCCAUUUUAAAAAUGAGAAAUAAAAUAAUAUGUAUACGCAAAAAAUUUGUCAGAGAGAUCAAACUCGUAGCACCAAAUCUCGACUUUCAUACCAGUAGUAAAAACUUUUAAAGCAUAGUUUAACAUAUUUUUUUUUCCCAACAUACUAUUGUCAUUAUAAGUAAAUAAUUUUUGGAAAUCUGGUUAAGCAUAUUCUUAUCAUUACAAUCCUCAAACCUAGAAUUCGCCAUAUUCUGUCAUCACAAAACUUAACCCUACUUUUUCUCAUAUUGCAGCUAUCACGAUCCUCAAAACCACGGUUCAUCGUGAACUUUAGUCCAAACUCAUCACAAACCAACACAUGAGCAUGCGAUGCUUUUAAGUUUAUUCCUCAAUCUAAAUAUAGAAAUAUUUACAUUUUCUGAAAAUUAUUCAUAUAUAUAGUGCUUUUAUAUAAUUACAAUUAACAUUUUUGAUUAGUAUUUUUUAGUUAAAACAUUUUUAUUCUUUUUUAAUUAAAAAUAAUUAACGAAAUAAUGAUGAAUCACGUUAUUAAGAGAGAAAAAAAAAUAAAGCCACAUUAUUAACGUCACUAAGAGGAACAUUUUGGUUUUCCUCCCAGACAUUGUUCAUCUUGGGAAAAAAAAAUGUCUUCUCUUUUACUAGGUGUUUAUCCGAAAACGAAGAAAACCUAUUUCUCGUGGCUAUUCUCUCUUUCUCUCGUCUCUUCCGCCCGAAACUUUUAACGUCGUUGUCAUCGAGUCACAUUUCGUCUCAACUCAACUUGUUUCGAUAUGUGUCAAAUCUUUAUUUCGAUUUUUCCGACAAUAAUCAGACAUCUAAGUUCAAUAGCAAGUGAUUCCCAUGAUUAAAACCAUUUUCUAAAACCACUGUUAUGAUAUUGAUGGUUUUUAUCGACGCUUAUUACGGCUGAUUUUUGCCGUCGAUUUACAUAUGGUGGCUGAUUUGUUAUUUCUAUUCGAUUUGAUGGCUGAGUUAUUGUAUGCUUUAGGACUGAUUUAUGAUUUAUUAAUGCAUAUGUGGUUGAGUUUGUUUUGUGUUGUGGCUUGGUUACUGUAUGUUUUAUGACUGAUUUAUGAUUUAUCAAUGCAUAUGUGGCUAGGUUUGUUUUAUGUUGUGGAUGAGUUAUUGUAUGUUUGACUGAGUUAUGAUUUAUCAAUGCAUCUGUGGCUAAAUUUGUUUUAUGUUGUGGCUGAGUUAAUGUAUGGUUAUGGCUGAUUUAUGGUUUAUUAGAUGGCUAAGGUUAUUUCUGAAGAACAAGCAAAGGAUUACCCUCUAAGAAUUUACGCAGAAGGAGAGUCUAAUCUAGAGAAUAAACUCAUUAAUCACAAUAUCAAGAUGACAUAUUUCUAUGGGAUUUAGAGAAUUAGUAUGAUAAGAUGUGUGGGAUCAAAUGAAGGAGGCACCUAUUGGAAUAAUUACUAAGUUAUCGAAUAGUCAAUUCGUGUGGUCUCGUAAGACUGUACAUUUUCUAUUAAGUAGACAGUUAAUAAUACUUUUGAAGGAGAUUUGGUGUCUCGUUGGUUAAUGCUAUAAAGAUGUUGAGGCCUAUUGGAAAGUCGUACACCAUCAGUGGUAUGGUUUUCAUGUUACAGGCUUGGGCAUAUGAUUCAGUCAAAUGCUUUGGAGAGCGAUAUAGGAACGUAGUCAAUAAGGAUGAAAUAUCGUUGCUUAGAUGGGGUGGAAACCGUACACGUACAACAAUGGAAUUUGAUGUAGGUCAAAUUGCUCUAAGUUUACUCCCUCAAAUAAGAGAUCGUCGUUAGUACUUAAGGGUAAAAUUCCACAAAACUCUUUUGUUCACACAAUAGGCUAAAGUAUCAAAAUCAAGCUAGAUAGAUGAUAAGAAAAUAAAAAGAAAGCAAGUAAGUAGAUAGUGGAUUGUGAAGUUGUAAGACAAGAUAAUAAAAACGUUAGGUUUAGGGUAUUCUCAGGAAAUAGAUGAUAAGAGAUAUAGAAAUAGCUAGGAUGUUAUCGAAUCGUUCUUAAACUCAAACCCUAAUUACAGAAUAAGCGGUGGUUCGCCGUGCUACUCAAUAUGCCUAGGGCUAAAGAUUCCCAGCGGUCGCUUGGCAAAUCCCUAUAUUAAGACAUGCAUGAUAAACGAGUUUGAUAAGUUCACCUAAAUAGAUAGGCCGAUUCUUAUUUCACAUCUAUAAACUUGGCUCAUCAAAUAGUAUUUCUGGUAACAUAUACCUUUUUGGGCAUACCUAUUAUUUAAGAUUAAGUUCUAAUUAGUUACUCUAGAACUAGCAUUAAGAAUAACCAAAGAUGAAAAAUCCUACAUAUAUCCUAGCAGGUGAACAAUCUACUAAAUCAUCUAAAUCCCUAAUGAGAAACCCUAACCCUAACAAGUAGACUACUCAUACAUGAUGGAUGAAACAAACAACAUUUAUGAAUGAGAAAGCAUAAACAAAAUCAAUAAGAAGAAAGAGUUAGAAAAUAUCUCUUCGGUAUUAUUGAAAUCUCUGAUAAAACUCAGAAAAAUGAAUCCAAUGUAUAAAUAGCUUAUAAAAUGCUUUAGAACAAGUUAGGUGGCUAAAAACUUGUUAGGUCACAACAAUGACCUUAAAACUAUAUAUAUAUAUAUAUAUAUAUAUAUAUAUAACCUAAAAACGUGUAGGUUACAUUAUUAGGGCGCAACUGGUGUCGAUCGACACCAAGAGUGUGUCGAUCGACACUCUCGACUUGAUCUGAAACUAAAUUCGUCAUUUGGCUUAGUUUCUUUAGCAUUUGCUCCAAAUUGUCUCCUUAACUCCAUUCUUGUCCCAAUCCAAAGAAUACCUUAAAAGACUCUAAAAGGACUCUAAAACCUAUAUUUAAAUCAUAGUUAAUGUUGGUGUCGGAUCCCGCAUCAUGGGCUCGGAUCCGGCCAAAGAUUGCUACGUGGGUAAAAGAAGCCCAUAAGAGAAAGGCCCAUAAACGUCCUCGAGGUGAGAGUAUGGAUGAGGUGUUGAGUUGCGAAGUGAAUACAUCAUCGAAGUCAAGACUACCCGGAUUGAAGAGGCCGAAUGGGCCGAAAGGUGAAGUCAAGAAAAGCUCGGAGUGGAUUCAAGUUCCAACGUUCAAAUAGUUAAUUCGAAGGCUAGAAACGGACACAUUUAAGAUAGAAUGAUUGUGAGUAAAUAGGUAUUAAAUGUAUUCUUUGGGUAUAAAUUGUGGGUCAAAGACCAUGUAAAGACAGACGCAUUUCUUGGUGCAAAUUAGCUAUACACACUCUUUUACAAUACUCAUAGUUUUCUCUAUAGUCACUUGUCUAUUUUCUAGUAUAUUUGUCCUCAAGAAUAAUCCUUCCCACUAAAUAAAUAAAUACUUGAGUGUGCGAAUCCGACAUCCACAGUUAAAAACAGUAAAAAUAGGGUUAUAUCAGAAUCGACCAUUGCUAAAGAUAUCUAAGUGCAUGGUGAGAUAAGGUUUUGGCUGUGUUGUGAUAGUUACUGAUUGAGUUAUGAUUUGAAAUGGCUGAUUUAUGGUUUGUGAUGGCUGAUUUAUAUUUUAUGAUGGAUGAUUUAUGGUUUGUGAUGGCUAAGUUAUAUUAGUGAUGGUUUAGUUUUGAUUUAUUGAUAUUUGAGUUAUAUUUUAGUGAUGGCUUAGUUAUGGUUUAGUGAUGGUUGAGUUAUGGUUUAGUGAUGUCUAAGUUAUAAUUAUUGAUGAUAGAGUUUAAACUAACUAAUGUGUUUUAUUUUGUUAUAGUUGCGUGUGAGUAAAAUGGUUAUGAAGGAUGAUGUAAGAGAGUUAUUUCAUACGUGGCCAAAUCAAGUAGAAGACCCAACACUUGAUCACUUGAUCGAAAACAUACAUGAGAAUAAGUUUGUUAAAGGUUAUAGGGAUGUGAAGAGAAAUGAGAAGAAGAACAAACAUGUAAAUGGUAAAGUAGCGGUUGAGUCUGAAUCUCACGCAAAGAAGCAGAAAGUCUCCCACAGUGAGGGUGGUGAAUAUUAUGAAGGACAUGCACAAAGGAAGAAGAAGAAAGAAAGAAGCAAAGGUAGUGAUUUGUGAACAAAAGUGAGGCUGGUGAAUCUGGUGAAGGAGAUGCACAAAAGAUGAAGAAGAAGAAGAAAGAAGCUAAGGUAAGUUAUAUGGUCUAUGGUGAGUUUAUAUUUUAUGUAAUGUUUGGCUAGCUUGUUAGUGUUUGUUUUUUUGUAUGUAUUGCAUGGUGUUAGUGAGGAGGAUGAUGUUCUCGAAGAUGUGUUGGUUAGAGCAGUCGUGGAUAUGGUGUCCAAAUUAACUUCAAGUUUUAACACUGUUGAUACAAGCAUUAGAGAAAUGUCUUCAAAUCUAGAGAAGGUGAUUGGAGAUAGAGUGGAAGCGAAGAUGGAUGCAAAGUUGGAAAGCGGAUUUGGAUAUAUUGAUAGUGAGUUCAAACAGAAGAAAGAGCAUUUGAAUGUCAUGGCCAUGGGGGUAGAGCAAACUGACCAAAAAGCUAAUGAUUACGAGAACUCAGAAUUCAAAAUUACAGAUCUACUCAGUAUUUAGAAGCAGCGAGAUCAGCUACUAUGACAACAACAACAACAAAAAACACCAAAAGGUUCAAGAAAACCUCGACAAAACUACUAUGUUACUAGUCCUCCUCAUGUAAGCUAAUAGUGCAACACAUAUGUUUGAAUUAUAAAUACAUUGCGGCUGAUUAAUAAUUUUCUUAUUUACUUACGGCUGAGUUAUCAUUAUCUUAUGACUGAGUUAUCAUAAUGUUUAUACAGGCGAAGGAUAUUGUCGAUGUAGUAGAGAAGGAUAAUGGUAUUGAUGAGGUCAAUAAGAAUAUGGAUAAAAAAUUUGUGAAGGCCAUUGAUGGGGUCAAUAAGAAUAUGGAUAAAGAAUUUGUUAAGGCCAUUGAUGAAAAACGAUGGUGAUAUUGGUUUCAUUGAGAAGUCUCUUGGUUAUAGGAAAUUACGCCCUACGACGAGGAGAAAUAACAAAGAGAAUGAAGAGGUAAAGAAGAAAUCCGUCAAAGAGCAAAUCAUCAAAGAGCCAACCGUGAAAGGUAAGAGAGGUAGAAAACCUGUAGAGGCGAAAAAGUUGACCAUAUAACUACAUCCUGCUCUUGUUAUUAAUGAGAAGGGAGAAGCUGAUGAAACAAAAUUACCUGCUCUUAAUGUGAAGAGAGAGUGUUGUUGUCUCCAAAAAAGCUGAGGAAGUCACUGACAAUGAUGGUUAGAAGGAAGGUGACAGUGACGUAUGAGAUGUCACAUACCAGUUUAUCGGUGAAAACGGAAGCACGUUCCCUGAGUCUGAUGAUGAUGAGGAUUGAUAUAAUCGAAGCUUUAAAGACGCAGAGUAUUAAGCUGUCUACGGAUGGUAGUGCAUUGAAUCCACUCUUUAAUCUCUCAACACGGGUUUUUCCUAAUACUGGAGACAACAGACUGAAGUGCAUGAGGAAGAAUUGUGUGCCUUCAGCUGGAAUAUAUGAUCCUCUAUCACCGGCUGAUACAGCCAAAUUGUAGAAACUUAAGGAUUACUUAUCCCCAUUCUAGUAUGACCCUUUAUACCUUAUUAAGUUGUUAAUUACAACUUGUUAACAUUAUUUCUGUAUAUUAACUUGUGUUUAUUUGUUAGGAAUCUCCCAUUGGGCAGGGCAACAAACGAUGUUGAUUUCUACAGGGUUAUCAUCUCCGAAAGAAAGCACUGACCAACCAGAGAAUAUGGAUGGUUGUUCGAUAGUGUAAGUAUUACAUUAGCAGAGUUAUUAGUGUGUUUUGUCAGAGUUUUACUACAUUAUGGCUGAGUUAUUGGUGUGUUAUGCUACAUUAUGGCUGAGUUAUUAGUGUGUUUUGUCUAAGUUAUGUUAUAUUGUGUCUGGGUUAUUAUUUUGUUUUGUCUGAGUUUUUUUUUUGUACAACAUGUGGCUGCGUUAUAUAGAGUCCUCAGGAAUAGGUACAAGCGAAAUCUCUGCCCAUUCCACAACAAACGCAUUGCAUUUCUAGACACGUGAUUCGUGUCUUUUUGGGUUAGAGAGUAUGUACAGUGCAAAAUAUAAAAGAAGAUGUUUAAAUUCAAAGACACCCCGUAUGAAAAGAUAGUUAAUGGUUUGCUUCCAGAUAAUCAACAGACAAAUAUGAAGUGAAUAGAAGAUGUGAAUCACUUGUAUUUGAUUCCCCAAACCAGAGGCGAUCACUAGGUGGCACUACACAUGGACCAGAUUAAGGGGCACAUUGAUUGCUAUGAUAUCAUUGUGGGAUAAGUUACAAGAAACUGAAUAGAAUUGAUUAGAAUGUUGUAGGCCGUUUACGAGAAUGAUUCCAGCAAUGAUGAACGUGCUAAUUCCUACUACAAUCGGUGAACAUAGGUUUGAGCAGUUUACAUUCAAAAGGAGUAGUGUCUCCAGGGUCCCUCAAAACGUACAAGUUGGAGCUGCGGCGUGUACUCGUGUUAAUUUUUUGAAUGUCUAACGCUUGGUAUAACUUUCAAUGACAUAUGUGAUUUCAACCUAUACAGGUUAAGAUGGCAGCAUAUAUCUACAAUAAGGCACCUAAUCUGCUUGGACAGUUUAGGAUUUUGACUUGGGAUAAUUAUAUUAACUUUUGAAUCGUAUUUUUUUCAACAAUCCAUAAGACCAAUGAAUUUUGUUUUCUUUAUAAUGGUUUGAUUUCAAACUAAUUUUCAUAUCUUGGCAUUUUCAGAUAAUUAAAUUGGAAUUUUACAUUACAAUUAUUCUUCUCAUAGAAUCAAAAUGAUAAAUCUAUAUUAAAUAUGUUACUAUAUUCCAAACUUUUUUGGUUUAGUUUUAUGGACUUACUAUAUUGUGCAUAACUCAAAUUAAAUUAAGACAUUUUCACUUGGGAUCACUAUAUUAAUUUUUGAACCGUAUUUUUUUCAACAAACUAUAAGGCCAAUGAAUUUUGUUUUCUUGUAAUGGUUUGAUUUUAAACUAAUUUUCAUAUCUUGGCCUUUUUAGAUAAUUUUAUAUUAGAACUAUUCUUCUCAUAAAAUCCAAAUGAUAAAUCUAAAUUAAAUAUAUUGCAAAUCUUCCGAACUUUUGUUUGGUUUAGUUUUAUAGACUUGCUAUAUUAUGCAUAACUCAAAUUACAUUUAAAAACUCCAUUUGUCAAACAUUAGGUUUUAACAAAUACCUCCAUAAUCCCCAUGUGGCUUUCUAGUACAAUUAUUUGUCAAACCUACGAUCUAUCUUCAUUUUAGAAUUUCUGAGAUUUCUCUCACAGCCUAUAAAUCAAGUACAACAUUAGGUUUAUAGCAUGAUCUCCAACAUUAAGAAUAAUCAAGUUUUUACCAUUUGUUGUUAUUUCCAACUUAACAUGAUCAAAACUAAAUGCGUGGAGUCUUUAUGUCCUCGACAUAACAUUAUGUAAAUACUUUUUGACUAAAAAUAGUACCAUUCACCCUUCUAACUCUAUGUCAAUUUGACUACAAAAACAUUUUGACAAAAAAAUGAACGAUUACAAAUUACACUGAUGGAAAAUAUACUUAGUCGAAUAACCACCAACGGUUGAAUGUAAAUGUGGAGUUCCAAUUAUUAAUCAUUUUUUUCGGCACUCAAUUCACGAAUGUGAAUCACCACUAACGCAUCUAGGAAUAUAUAUAGUAAGGUAUACAACUUAUUUUUUAAUCAAAACAAAAAAAUAUUUGUAGAUUUUUGGGACCUUUGGUUUUCCUUAAAAUAGAUAAGGGAAUAUUGGAGGAUAGAUAUGAAUCUAUAUGAAUUAGAAUUUAAGGUCUUAAAUCCCUUUGUGAUAAGGUUUGGGAUACCUAUAUUUUAGGAUCUGUGUUUAUCUCCUGUGGAAACUCUCUUGUAUAAAUACGAACGUGAGUUCAUCAAUAAAAGCAAGUCACUUUGAUAACCAAUUCUACAUGGUAUCAAAGAGCUGAGAUCAUCAAAAUCAUCUUCAAAAAUUUUGUGUUCUUAAGUUAAGAAUUCUUAAAUUGUUUCCUUUCUCUGUUGAGUUGAUAGUCUUGUGUGUCAAGUAACAAUGACAAACCCAACGUCUGGUGAUGGAUCUUUGUCAACCAUGUCGAGUUCUAUCGGAAAACAACCAGAGGUGGUGACGUCGGCGGUGACAGUGUCACCGUUCACUCUUUCUAGCUCCGAUAAUCCGGGGGCUAUGAUUCCAUCGGUCAUGUUGACUGGUGACAACUACAAUUCUUGGUCGACAGAGAUGCUAAACGCUCUUCAAGCCAAACGAAAGACGGGUAUCAUUAACGGUGCAAUACGUAAACCACCUGCUGAUGAUCAAAAUUUCGAAAAUUGGACAGCGGUGAAUUCUAUGAUAGUUGGAUGGAUCCGAGCUUCCAUCGAACCAAAGGUGAAAUCCACCGUGACUUUCAUCUCAGAUGCUCAUCAAUUGUGGAUUGAUUUGAAGCAAAGAUUUUCUGUGGGCAACAAAGUGCGUAUUCAUCAACUCAUAGCACAGCUCGCGACAUGCCGUCAAGAUGGACAAUCUGUUUUAGAUUACUAUGGACGGUUGAGUUCGUUGUGGGAAGAAUACCAAAUUUACAAACCCAUCACUACGUGUACGUGUGGUUUGUGCACUUGUGGUGCCACAUGACAACCAUCCAAAGAACGAGAAGAAGAGAAGAUUCAUCAAUUUGUGUUGGGACUUGAUGAAUCUAGGUUUGGAGGAGUUAGUACCAAUAUCAUAUCUAUGGAUCCUCUUCCAACUCUUGGUGAAGUAUAUUCGAGAAUCAUAAGAGAGGAGCAUUCUUCUCGCAACAACGAGCAACAUCGAGAGUCAGUUGGUCUGUUUACUCGACAUGACCAGUCUGCUUCAGAUGUCGCUGCCUACUUUGGGAAAUCAGAUGUGACUGCUUUAAACAGACCUGAAUCCUCAAUCAUCAAACCCCGAGAUUGUAACGUGCUCUGUUCGCAUUGUGGACGAGCUGGGCAUGAAAAACAGGAGUGUUGGCAGAUCGUGGGGUUUCCUGAUUGGUGGAAGGAACGAGAACGUCUUCAAAAGGCUAGUGGUCGUGGAGGAGGAGGACGAGGAGCAGGACGAGGAAGAGGACAAGCUUUUACAGCUCAUGCCACAAGCUCACAUUCCUCUGUUUUUCCUGACUUUACACCGGAACAAAUAAAGGUUCUUCAACAAAUGGUCACCGAAAAAUCAAGCACCAAUAACGUCGACAAGUUGUCGGGUAAGAGAGCUCUUGGUAAUGUGAUACUUGAUACAGGGGCUUCUCACCACAUGACGGGAAACCUUUCUCUAUAACAUAACAUCAAAAAUAUUUCGCCAUGUUCGGUGGGAUUCGCAGAUGGAAGUAACACAUUUGCCUUGAGUAUGGGAGUGUUCCCAUUGUCUGACACGGUUUCGUUAACCGAUGUCCUAUACGUACCAUCUUUAAAUUGCACACUUAUCUCAGUUGCUAAGUUCAUAAAACAAACCAAGUGUGUAGCUUUGUUUACUGAGACCUUGUGCGUUUUGCGGGACCAAUUUUCGAAGACUUUGAUUGGAAGCGGUGAAGAGCGUGAUGGGGUUUACUACUUUACGGAUGUUGUUUCACCAAAGAUACAUAGCGUGGAUGUUGUUUCUGACAAAGCGUUGUGGCAUCGGCGAUUGGGACAUCCAUCAUUUUCUGUUCUUUCAACUUUGCCUAUGUUUCUAGUUCUUCGAAAUCUGCUACUCCAAGUCCUUGUGACAUUUGUUUUAGAGCUAAGCAGACUAGAGAGGUUUUUCCAGAGAGUUUUAAUAAAGCAAACGAUUGUUUUUCUUUAAUACAUUGCGAUGUUUGGGGGCCUUAUCGGGUUCCAUCUUCAUGUGGAGCAGUUUACUUCUUGACUAUUGUUGACGAUUAUUCAAGAGCGAUGUGGACAUAUCUGCUUCUUCAAAAGUCAGAGGUACGAAAUGUGUUGACAAACUUCAUUGCAUAUGCAGAGAAACAAUUUGGAAAAACAAUAAAAAUCGUUAGGAGUGACAACGGGACUGAAUUUAUGUGCCUCUCUUCUCACUUUAAGCAGCAGGGUAUCAUACAUCAAACAUCUUGUGUUGCGACGCCACAGCAGAAUGGUAGAGUUGAGAGAAAACAUCGCCACAUUCUUAAUGUUGCUAGGGCAUUGUUGUUCCAAGCUAGCUUACCUAUCAAGUUUUGGGGAGAAGCAAUUCUUACUGCAGCAUAUCUCAUCAAUUGCACACCCUUUUCAGUUAACAAUGGUCGUUCCCCAUAUGAAAUUCUACACAACAGCAAGCCUCCCUACGAUCAACUCCGAGUGUUUGGUUCAGCUUGUUAUGUUCAUCGUAUGGCUCGAGACAAAGAUAAAUUUGGAGAAAGAAGUAGACUUUGCAUUUUUGUUGGUUAUGCUUAUGGAAAGAAGGGAUGGAAGGUUUAUGAUUUGGAGAAAAAUGAAUUUUUCAUAUCUCGUGUUGUUAUUUUCCGGGAAGAUGUUUUUCCAUAUGCAGCUGGUGAUGUUAAUUAUGUGCAUGUUUCUUCAAUACAAGUCAUUCCUGAUGAAGACUGGCUGGUACCUCCGUCUAUAGUUGUAAGGGGGAGCUCAGAGUCUCAAAUCGACUCUGUUCCAGCAACUCAAGCGGCUCCUCAAAUCGACUCUGUUCCAGCAACUCAAGCGGCUCCUCAAAUCGACUCUGUUCCAGCAACUUUAGCGGCUCCUCAAAACGACUCUGUUCCAGCAAGUCCGGUUUUGCUUGAAAAAUCCACGAGUUCGUCUCCUGUUACAAUUACACCACCAGCUUCUCCGAAAAUAAGAACAUCGUCUUCUUCACCAACACUAGCGCCACUUGUUGAUGUUUUAAAACCUGCAGAUUCGCCUCAUCCUAUUGUGGAAUUGCGUCGAAGCAAACGAGAACGACAGGAAUCUGUUAGACUCAAAGAUUAUGUGGCUCAUAAAGUAGUAUGUUCUUCAGAAACCCAUCACGCUCUGCCCAUCACUGCCUCUCCAUCAUUGUCUUCGUCAACGGUCUAAGGUACGUUUUCAUCUGAAUAUGAGUCUCUGUAUUCGUUAACAGAUUUUAUCUCGGAUGAACAAUUCUCACUAGGACAUCGUGCGUUUUUGGCUACCAUUACAAAAUCGGUUGAGCCUAAGCAUUUCAAGGAAGCUGUUCAAAUAAAAGUUUGGAAUGAUGCUAUGAUCAAGGAAGUUGAUGCUCUUGAAAUUAACAAGACGUGGGAUUUGGUUGAGCUUCCUCGCGGAAAAAUUGCACUUGGAAGUCAGUGGAUUUACAAGACGAAAUACAACUCGGAUGGUACGAUAGAACGGUAUAAAGCUCGUCUAGUAGUCCUGGGUAAUAAUCAGAUCGAGGGAGAGGAUUACAAAGAAACUUCCGCCCCUGUCGUGAAAAUGACUACGGUUUGUGCUCUUCUUCGACUCGUUGCUGCUAAUCAAUGGGAGGUAUACCAAAUGGAUGUCCAUAAUGCAUUUCUCCACGGAGACUUGGAAGAAGAGGUAUACAUGAAACUCCCUCCAGGCUUCCGUCAUUCACACCCCGAUAAAGUUUGUCGACUUAAAAAGUCUCUAUACGGACUUUAACAGGCUCCACGUUGUUGGUUCAAGAAGUUGUCUGAUUCGUUACUUCGAUUCGGGUUUGUUCAAUCAUAUGAUGACUACUCUUUAUUCUCUUACACUCGUGAAGGUAUGGAGAUCCGAGUUUUGAUAUAUGUCGACGAUCUCCUCAUUUGCGGGAAUGAUAAUUAUAUGCUUCAAAAGUUUAAAGAAUAUUUGAGUCGUUGCUUUGCAAUGAAAGACUUGGGGAAACUCAAAUAUUUUUUGGGGAUAGAGGUGAGAAGAGGACCAGAGGGUAUUUUUCUGUCACAGCGCAAGUAUGCUUUGGAUAUUGUGGCGGAUUGUGGAACUCUCAGUGCUACAGCUGCUGCAACUCCUCUUGAACAAAACCAUCACUUAGCUGAUGACGAUGGUCCCUUACUGGCUGAACCAAAGAAGUAUCGAAGGCUGGUAGGACGCUUGAUCUAUCUCACUCACACACGACCCGAGUUAAGCUAUUCGAUACACGUUUUAUUUCAAUUCAUGCAAGUUCCACGUGAGGCUCAUUGGGAUGCUGCUCUUCGUGUCGCUCGUUAUCUAAAGGGAGCUCCUGGUAAAGGCAUUUUGCUCAAAGCUAAUCCGGAUCUUACUCUUACUGUCUACUGCGAUUCAGAUUAUAAUUCUUGUCCUCUAACAAGGCGCUCUUUGAGUGCUUUUGUUGUUUUGCUUGGUGGCUCUCCUAUUUCUUGGAGAACAAAGAAACAAGACACUGUCUCUCACUCUUCCGCUGAAGCUGAGUAUCGCGCAAUGUUUGUCGCUCUCCGUGAGAUAAAAUGACUUCGAAAACUCUUGACAGGAUUGGGUAUCAAACUCACUGCGCCAGCUCGUUUCUUUUGUGAUAGUUAGGCUGUGAUUCACAUUGCGGCAAACCCAAUGUUCCACGAACGCACCAAGCACAUCGAAUCAGACUGUCACUUUGUCCGAGAUGCUGUCCGAGAUGGACUUAUCACUACUUGUCAUAUUGGCACUACGGAACAGCUAGCAGAUGUCUUAACCAAGGCCCUUGGACGUGUUCAAUUUCUUACCUUAAUGUCCAAGUUGGGCAUUCAAGACCACCAUGCUCCAACUUGAGGGGGAGUAUUGGAGGAUAGAUAUGAAUCUAUAUGAAUUAGAAUUUAUGGUUUUAAAUCCCUUUGUGAUAAGGUUUGGGAUACCUAUAUUUUAGGAUCUGUGUUUAUCUCCUGUGGAGCUCUCUUGUAUGAAUACGAACGUGAGUUCAUCAAUAAAAGCAAGCCAUGAUAACCAAUUCUACAGGGAAUUUUAAUAAAAUGUCAAAUCUCUCAAAUUCAUUUUGUUUUGUGGGUACUUGAAUUCAGCAAACGAUUUGUCAUUUAAAAAAAAAAUCCUAAGCAAUCAAAAUUUAUGGUUUUUAGCUAAUUUGAUUUGCGUGGCAACAUUGUAUUUACCGAUUCUGUGCAAAUUUGACUUAGGCCUUGUGAAACCCCAAACAAAUAGGAUGGCAAAUAAUGACAAGAAAACCUCAUUUUGCUGUAUGAUUGAUACAUUUAUUUUGCAAAUGUCUUUGUAGUCAAACCCGACCAUACAACUAAAUAUAAAAUUUGAUUGGAUCAGAAACCAUAUAUUCUCUCGCUGGACUCUUGUAAGAAAACUAAAGAUAAUCUAAUACGAUUCAGGUGAAAAAAACUAACAUCACAUUAUUUUUGUAUAAGUUAAUAUUGAACUAUAUAUAUAUAUAUAUAUAUAUAUAUAUAUAAUCCUUUUACAAAAAAUAUAUUUUAUAUAUAUAUAUAUAUAUAUAUAUAUAUAUAUAAAUCUAAAGAAGAAAAACACAUGCCUCUUUUCUCGAAAUAUAGAUGAGUGUUGCCAUAAAACAAAUAUGCAAAUAAGUAUGUACAAACUUAAGUAUUUUUUACCAAAAAAAACAUAAGUUUUUUGGUCAAUUAUUUAUAAUAAAAGAUUUUCUAGUUCAUAUCAUUGUGGAGGAUGGGCUUUAAAAAGUAUUAAAAAGAUAUUUAAGAAAUGAAAAAUAAAUGGCAGUAGAAAAAAAGAAAAAAGAAAAAUAAAUGAUGGCAAAUAUAUCUAAUGAAGAGGAGGAUUUAACAAGAUUUAUGAAAAACUAUAAAACGUUAUAUAGUGUGUAAAAAGGUAAUAAAUAAGUAAUUUUUAAAAUUAGUGAAAUUUAUAAUAAUAAUUUUUAAAAUUAAGAUUAAAUUCUAUUAUAAUUAUAAGAGGAUAAUAUAAAUCAAUUCUUAAGAAAUUAUCAGAAUUGGCAAUGGAUUCUGUGUAUUAUAAUUAUAAGAGGAUAAUAUGAUUCAUUUAGAUUCAGUCAGCGACUCUAAAAAAUUAUACUUUACAACAACAUAAUAAAUCAUAAGAAUUGGCAAUGGAUUCUGUCUACCGAAAGAUGUGGGGUGAAUUCAUAUGACGAAAUAAGUGGUGCAAUUUCGUAAUAAUCGAAAGAUAUGGGGACUAAAUCUUAAAUAGAAACGUUAACUUGAUCACAACGGCUAUAAUUAGUUACUAAUCACAGUAAUUAAACCACUAAACUCAAAAGAAAAAUGGAAACAACAAAAAGCCCUACCCUCUUUCCUUAAAGAGAAGGCAACUUUUUUCUGCAUUAUUCGAUCAGCGGCUCUCCAUCUUUCUAAUUUCCUUGUUCCUCACGACUUCAUUCUCAGAGCUUUCGAGUCUUUCGGUUCCAUUACAAUGACUAUGUACGAUCUCACGGAUUCAGGGAAGGAUAUGUGUUCGAGUCUUUGUUUACUGGCCGAAGUUGCGGUUAUGGUUGCGGAAGAAGAACAAUUUCGUCGUCUUCUAAAGACUGUCUCUAAAGAAGAAGAUAGCGACAAGAGUUUCUUCUAUCGUUUCCCGAGAAAAAUCAGAUCGUCUUUGGUGAAGAGAAGAUACACGCAGCAAAACCCUAACGGGGCUUCUACUUCUUCAGCGGUUCUCGAUCUGAACCUAAUCACCACUGAUUACGACUUGAAAACCCAACAAAACCCUAGUUUUGAUGAGCCGUUAGUUGGUGUAUAAUGGGGCUUCUGCGUCUUCAUCGUUCUUGAACCUUCGUUGUUAUGAUCCUUCGUUACCCUUGGAUUACAACACGGCUAAGUUGGGGAAGACAGAGAAGAAAAACCUAACAAACCCUAAUUACCAAUCUUCAUCUUCGUCUUCAUGCCUAACGGAGAACAAAAGCCGCAAGAGGCGUGCCGUGCAGCAGAGGAAGAGUGGUAAACUCAAGAAAGCGAGGGUUGUUUCUUUGCCAAGGAUGUCUAUAGAGACGCCAGAGUGGGUUUUCCAGGUGAUGAGAUACAUGAACGCUGAUGCUGAAACCCCGAGGCUGAUAUUUGAGAGGACUCUGUUCAAUAGUGAUGUCAAAUCAGGCCUGAGCCGUCUCUUAAUCCCUUUCCAGCAGCUAAUCAGAAACGACUUCUUGACGCCUGCGGAGUGUAGAGCCAUACAGAAAGACGAAGACAACGAAGAUGACAAGAAUAUUGGUGUGGGAACGAUUCUUGUGAACCAAAGAUCUAAAAUGUGGGGUUUGCGUUUCAAGAUAUGGGCGAUGGAGAAGGACUCUGGACACGGAACAUUGAAUUACAUUUUGAAUUGGGGUUGGAACGAUGUAGUCAAAGGUAACGGCUUAAAGGCUGGCGACAAUAUCAGUCUUUGGACUUUCAGGUGCCGUGGAGUCCUCUGCUUUCCUCUUGAGACAUAGUAGCUCUCUGAUAUUUUCAUUUGUCUCUUGAGGUUUCAUUUAUAUAGUUUCAAGUGAUUCUUGAGGUUUUUGCCUUUUUAGCAUAGUAGUAACUUGUUGGAAGUGUUAAGUAACUUGUCUGUCUCCUCUGUUGUCUCAGUUCUUUAUCAUUGUUUGAAAAUAAACUAUUUUGUCAUAAGUAUGGUUUGUUGUUUUGUCUACUUAAGUUACUGCAUUGUUCAAUAUACCUUUGUGUUAUCUCAGAUCUCUCCUCUAAACCUGUUGCAAUGAUGGAAAUGGUCUAUUCCUGCAAGAGUUUUGGUACAUUCCUCCGAAAUGCUCGAUUUAGAACCAAAAACAAUCAAAAAAUGUCAGAGAAAAAGCAAGUUUUGGUAACAAGGAUUUAUCUACGCAUUGAUAAUAUCGACAAGUUAGUUUACUCAUAUUAACACCAAAUCAUAUUGUUUCUGUCGAAAGCUUAAGCUUCUCCAAGAUCUCCCCAUCUCACAUUGUACUUAGAUGCAAGGUAAUGUGCACCAACAGGACCUCUGCUUCCAUAUGGAUAGAGCUCAGGAAUGAUUUUCUUCUCCUCUAGUUCCUUCAAAGCCGGUGUGAAUAGAUCCCAUGCUGCAUCUAGCUCAUCACUUCUGAUAAACAACCUCCUCUCUCCUUCGAUUGCAUCGAGAAGCAGUCUUUCAUAUGCAUCUGGUAUCUCUCUUGGAUACCUAUCAACCCCAAAAGAAUAUAAAUAAAUAAUCUCUAUAGGAAAACUAGAAUCAGUAGUAUGCAUUGUUGUACCUGGAUCGAUAUAGAAGGUUAAGGUCGCUGCGAUCUAGUCUCAUUCCAAGACCAGGAACUUUGUUGUUGAUCCUCAGGUAUAUCCCUUCAUCAGGCUGAACUCUAAUCACUAGUUCAUUUGUUGCAUUGUCUAAAUUAGUAGCAAAACUUUUCUUGUACAAGUUUCCUGGGACAUGUCUGAACUGAACUCUGAUCUCUGCUCCUCUGGUAUGGAGAGCUUUUCCAGCUUUCAUAAGAAAAGGAACACCGUCCCAUCUCGCAUUGUUGAUGAACAUGGCUGCUGCAGCAAAUGUAGGAGUGAGACUGUGAUUUGGAACCGUUGGAUCGUCUGUAUAACCUGGAUAAGUUUUUCCUCCCUUGUUAUGGCCUUUGUAUUGACCAACAACCACAUCUUCAAGCCGCAACGGUUUCAUUGAUCUCAAAACUUUCACCUUACAGGAACACAUAAUCAUCGGUAUAGUAUUUUAUAACCAACCUAAAGCUUUUCUUCUUAGUGAAAAAAGUCUUACCUUUUCACUUCUUAUGUCCUCAGCAUCUAAGCUCACUGGCGUCUCCAUUGCAAAAAGUGCAAGUAUUUGCAAGAGAUGGUUUUGCAUGAUGUCUCGUAUGAUUCCAUAUUGAUCAAAGUAACUGCAUCGAUUUAACAUUAGUAAGGUGUUCAGUGUCAUACUGAUCAAAGGUGUUCAGUGUUCAUGCUUUGUAAGUUGUUUAUGAAAGCUUACCCUCCACGCCCUUCUGUUCCGAAAUCCUCAGAAAAAAUCAGCUGAACGUUGCGUAUGUAAUUUCUUGACCACAGAGGCUCGAAAACAAGAUUUGAGAAUCGGAGCACUGAAAGGUUCUCAACAAGCUCCUUUCCCAAAUAGUGAUCAAUCCUACGUAUGUCACAUAACAUUGCAGUUAAGUUCCAGCUUAAAAAUGAAUGGCAGUGAUGGCUGUUGGGCUAAGGAAAUGGCUAACCUGAAGAUUUGCUCCUCUGUAAGAUACUGUUUCAGACAUCUAGUUAACUCUCCGGAUGAUUCAGAGUCACGACCAAAUGGCUUUUCCACAAUGACCCUUGUCCAGCCAUUCUCUGAGGAGGCUCUAAGACUUGCACACCUAACCACAUCAACGAAUAUGUUUGGGGGUAUCGACAAAUAGUACAGCCUGUUUGAUAUCUUUCCUGCCUACAAAGCAGAAAGGAAUUAGAAAUGUGCUUCGUGCCAUUGGUACAAGAAAUAAGCAUAGAGAGAGUGAAAGAAAAUUACCUCUUUCUCUUUGAGCUUCUUGUUUAGUUCCGCAAAAUCCUCUUCCGAGUUAUACUGACCCGAAUGGUAAAAGCAUCUUUUCAAGAACUGCUCCAUCUUAUCCCCACAUUUUUCCCUGUUGAUUCCAACUUUUGUUCAUAUAACCAAAGCAUAAACUUUAACUAAAACAUACACUAAAAACGUAUAGCAGAAUAUACCUCUGAUCAAUCCGGCAAGUUAAAGUACUACUAAUCAUGUCACGAAGCUCUUCAUGAGUGAGUUUAGUCCGAGCAUAACCAAAAACAGAAAAGUCCUGAGGAAGACAACCCUCAUAAAAGAGAGCAAACAAUGCAGGAAAUAUCUUCUUCUUGGCUAAGUCCCCUGACGCUCCAACAACUGUAAUACUAAGAGUAGACUCUCCUUUUGUAACAUGUUCCUCUGUAAGUUGAUCUCCAGCUGAAACAAUUUGGUAAAAACCAUCCUCCAAAGAAUCAAAAACACAAACAAAAGCUACAAAACUACUUCAAUUCAUAAAAAGAGAGACUUUAUCAACCAAAUUGCUAAACCAAACCCUCACUACCUCACAAUCACUCUAAUCUACUACAUUCAAUCCUAGAAUACUCAAAGACAUAAUCCUUAGAUGAGAAAUGGUAUCCUUGAGUACAAAAGAUACAAUCUUGAACUACUUUCUUCAAUCGUCAAAAACACAGACAGAGGCUACAAAACUACUUCAGUUCAUAAAGAAAGAGACUUUAUUAACCAAAUUCCAAAACCAAACCCUUACUCAUUGCUAUCUAACCAACUCACAAUCACUCUAAUCUUCUACAUUCAAUCCUAGAAUACUCAAAGACAUAAACUUUACAAUCAAAGAUGGUAUCUUUGAGUAUAAAAGGUCAUAAAGAUACAAUCUUGAACAACUUUCUUCAAUAGACAUAAAACUGUUACAAUCCUAACAACACAAUCAACGACAGGUACAAGAAACUUCAUCAAGAAUUCUAUCAAAAACUAAUCUAGUCACAUAGAAACUGGAGAAGAAACUCACAAUCUUGUAAAGAAGCGAAAUUAGUGGCACACCCAUUUGAAGUAUCAAGCUGAGAAUGUUUCUCGGCGAAGAAUCUCAAGCGAACCUGAGAAAACAAGGAUUUUCUCGGGAAUGUGAGAGAUCUACUAAAGAGUGGUAGAGUCUCUUUAAACGGAGACGCAGCAGUAGCGAGAGACGAGGAAGAAGAAGAAGGAGAAGGAAUGAUCAUAGAAUGUGUCGCCAUGCAAAUUUUCUUGGAGCGUCAAAACAAAUGUGAUGAUGAUGAUGAUGCCAUUGUUUUUUGCCUUAUGAGGCUAUUUGUAUCGUCUCUUACAUUAUCCACAACAGUAGUUUUAUUAUAUAGUUUUCGAUAUUUCUUAUCUCUCACAUUAUCCACAUAUCUUAUUUGUCAAAAAAGUUUUAUUUUUCUUUGCAUAAAUUCUUUUUUUCUCAAGAAAGUAAACCGUAUUAACAUCCAUCUCUGGUAUAGCUUAACCGGAUUAUUCCAUUCGAACGACCACAAUUCGCUGGAAAGGUGAUUUUGGUUUAGCAGUAAAUUUCAUACUUUAUUCAUUUUAGUACUCUCUUAUGCACACUUUAUUAAUUUACUAGGUGAAUAUCCGGGAUUUUUCGUAAAUGUUUUACUUAUAACAACAACAAAGGAAAGUUGUUUUAUGUUAUCUCUUUCUAGCCUUUUUGGCUUUUUCUAAAUAUACUGCAUAAGCUGACUUCUCUGAUUAACAAAGACUCCAAUUUAGCAUGAUGAAUAAUGAGCAUCAUUUAUACAAAUAUUAUUUCUAAGAUUCUAUUUUCACCUAAUUUAACCACAUUUUGUAGAAUUACUUACAAUAAAAAUUUAAAAAACCUAUUCAUUUUGUUUAAAAUAUUUUACUUAAUUAAAAUUUUAUCAUUAAUCUUUCUGUCAUUUACUUUUUGAGUAUUAUUGAUUUUUAUAAAUCAUAUCAAAAAAGUUCAAAAUAUUUUUAAUCUAAAAAAAACAAAGUAUAAGAAAAAUUUUAAUGCCUAAAACUUAUGAAUACUUAAACUUUUUCACAUUUAUUUAACUACUUUAACUAUCUUAAAAUUACAUACAAACUUAUUAAAUAGUACACAUGCUUGACGACAUUAAAAUAUAUUCUCCUACUAAAUAUACAACAAUCACCCAAAAUAAUAAAACACAGGUUGAAUCCUAGUCAUUAUUUAGAAUGAUCAUCUCUUGUGUCCCUUUUGUGGGACAACUAAUCUGCAAAACCACUUUAGAGUCUUCCUAUCUCCUUUGAGUUAAUGAAUUGUGUUAAGACGAAUUUACCCCUGUAUUUUAUUUUGAAUGAAUAAUUAAUAUUUCUAGAAAACAUUUUGAAAAAAAAAAAAACGGAAAAAAAAAAAAAGCUCGAGCUCGUUCUUCUUCGGGCUUCUUCCUCCGGCGAGCCGCAUUGUCGUUUUUCUCCUCCUGCAAGCUGCAUCAAUCUACUAAGUCCAGGUAUGGAGAGAGCUUCAAAAGCUUUGAAUUACAUAUUUUGAGGAUUUUGAAAUUCAAUCAAAUUAGAUUUGGAUUAUUGUGUUUUAGCACCUACAUUAGAAGUUUAAGUAUAGAUUUAGGCUUCAUUUGGUCUGUUAAUGGGUAAGCAAUUGAUUUCACAUGCUGAUUCAUACUAAAUUGAACUCAAAUCGAAUAUUUGUUCUUGUCGCGAAAAUAAUACUGGUCGCACUAACUAUAGUAGUACCGUAAUUUAUAUAGAUAGUAUGUUUUAAUAGCACCAAUAUUACUUAGACACGUAGUAUUUCAUAUAUGUAAUAGUAUUACUCACACAUGUAAUAUUUCAGAAUUAGUAAUAGUAUUACUGAAAAUGUACUAGAAUCGAUAAUACUAGUAAUAUUGACUGAGUAUGUGUAUUGUUUUGGCAGGUUACAAUGAAAGAGAACGUGAUCAUAUAUUUUAAAUUCCAAGGUCGCAUGUAUAAUGUGAUGAUGAAGACAUUAGGGGAGAAGAUUACUCUCUCAAUGUUAGAAGAUAGGAUAAUGACGAAGCUUGGAUUAGAUGCAAAUAAGGUAAAAUUGCAUAUGAGGUACAAUCCACGGUUGUUCGGAGUAGAGGAAGAAAUGAACGUUUGUGAUGAUGAGGAUGUCUUUGUUUAUGUAACAUCCGCAAAAAAUAACUGAAGAAGUGUUUUGGUUGUGGAGGAGAUCUCUAAACCGCCCGAGCCGGAGCAAUUGCCCGAGCAAUUGUCUAGAGUUGGUAAAAGUUCUGUUGGUAAGAACUAUACAGAGGAGGAUGAAAUGAGAGUGGAUGAUGGUGCACUCAUCGUCUUAUUAGAAGAGGAACAAGGAACUCAACAUCAACUUGAGGCAAUAGUGGAGGAUCACGGGACUCAACAUCAACUUGAGGCAAUAGUGGAGGAUCACGGAACUCAACAUCAACUUGAGGCAAUAGUGGAGGAUCACGAGACUCAAGAAGAUGAAACACGCUAUGAUGAGUCUAUGGAUGAUUCUGAUAGGGGGGAACAGUAUGUUGAGUCGCCACCUGUUGUAGAACCGGGUAUGUUUAAGAAAGAAUGGGAAGACGGAAUUGGGUUGACCUUACGUCAAGAAUUUCCAAACAAGGCGGCAUUGCACGAGGUGGUGGAUAGAGCUGUAUUUGCUACCAUUUUUGGUUAUGUGAUUAAGAAGUCGGAUAAGGAGCGCUAUGUCCUAAAGUGUGCCAAAGAGAGCUGUUCUUGGCGUUUACGAGCGUCCAAUAUCAGUAAUAUUGAUAUAUUCUCGAUUAGAAGGUAUAAUAAGAUGCAUAGUUGCACUCGGCUAAGUAAAGGUAGUAGUAGGCUCAGGAAAAAAAAAGGCAACCCACAAUUAGUCGCAGCUCUCCUUCAUGAUCAUUUUUCGGGACAGUUGGAAACUCCGGUUCCAAGAAUUAUCAUGGAGCUAGUUCAGACGAAAUUAGGUGUGAAAGUAUCAUACUCGACAGCGCUAAGGGGGAAAUAUCAUGCGAUUUAUGAUUUAAAAGGUAGCCCGGAAAAAAGCUACAAGGAUAUCAAUUGUUAUUUAUACAUGUUGAAGAAGGUAAAUGAUGGUACAGUUACUUAUCUGAAAUUGGAUGAGAAUGAUAAAUUUCAGUACAUAUUCGUAGCUUUGGGAGCUAGCAUUGAAGGUUUUAGAGUGAUGAGGAAAGUUUUAAUUGUGGAUGCAACACAUUUGAAGAACGGAUAUGGCGGAGUGCUAGUGUUUGCCUCGGCUCAAGAUCCUAACCGUCACCAUUACAUCAUAGCGUUUGCCGUACUCGACGGUGAGAAUGAUGCUAGUUGGGAGUGGUUUUUCGAGAAGCUAAAAACGGUUGUACCCGAUACUUCAGAAUUGGUUUUCAUGACGGACAGAAAUGCAAGCCUCAUAAAGGCCAUACGGAACGUGUAUACCGCGGCUCAUCACGGGUAUUGUAUUUGGCAUUUGUCCCAAAAUGUGAAAGGUCAUGCUACUCACACCAACCGAGAUGUACUCGCAUGGAAGUUUCAGGAGUUAAGUCGGGUCUACGUCGUGGCAGACUUCAACCGAGCGUAUGACGGGUUUAAGUUGAGAUAUCCUAAGGCGACCAAGUAUUUGGAGGAUACAACCGUGAAAGAAAAAUGGGCAAGGUGUUGUUUUCCCGGAGAAAGAUACAACUUAGACACAAGCAAUUGUGUGGAAUCUUUGAACAAUGUGUUUAAAAACGCAAGGAAAUACUCGUUAAUACCAAUGCUUGAUGCGAUCAUCAAAAAAAUCUCCGUUUGGUUUAAUGAACAUCGGAUGGAAGCCGCGUCUGGAUCCUUAGAAAAUAAGAUGGUGCCUUUGGUCGAGAAUUAUUUGCAUGAUUUGUGGGUUUUUGCCGAGAAGCUAAAAGUGGUGGAACUAAACUCAUUCGAGCGUGAAUAUGUAGUCACAUGCGACAAAGGAAUAGAUUAUACGGUGAGCUUGCUUUUGAAAACUUGCAGUUGCAAGGUUUUCGAUAUCCAAAAAUAUCCUUGUAUUCAUGCAUUAGCCGCUUUCAUUAACAUUAUGGAUGAUGAAGAUCGGAGAAGAGGUUUGGAGUAACAUGAUUUGGUUACAAAAUAUUAUUGGGCGGAGUUGUGGGCAUUGGCCUAUUAUAGGACUAUUUAUCUUGUUCCGGAUAGGUCGCAGUGGGAAGUACCAGAUGAAGUAAAGGCGUUGAAGAUAGUUCCGCUGUCUAAAAAACCGAAGAAAGGAAGCAAAAAAAUGCUAAGGUUUCCAUCAACCGGGGAAAAGCGGCCAAAACGACAAAGGACGCAAAACAAAAGGCGUCCAAGGCAAUCGUGUCAAUGGUUAUUAUUUGGGAAUACGCCUAUCUGAGUUUUUUACUUUGUUUUUGCAGUGAUUUGUUGUUUUUAUGGUAUGGACUUACUAUGUAAUACUGUAUUUCCCCUUCUAUAGUACUAUGUCUGUUUCUAUUGUUUUUUUGUAAUACUGGUUAUAACAAGUAAUAUCAUGUCUGUUUCUGUCGAAUUUGUGGUCAUAUUAGUACUACUGGUAAUACUAAGUUGGUGUUAUGGAGUUCGAAUUUGUUUACCUCAAAAGUCAAUGAAAAUGAAUACAGUGAGUUAUUAACAGAUAAAAAUGUAUUAUUAAUCAUUUAUACUUAAUUAAAUUAGAAAUUUUAAUAUUAAAUCGUUUUAACUUAUCUUUAGUAGACUCAAUACAACAUUUCCCUUAUACUUUUAAGCUCACUUUUAAUAUUAUCACCAACUUAAAAUGAAAAAUUCAUAUUGCUACAUAUAUUUAAUUUAUAAUUACACAAAAUAUUUAAACCUCUAUAUUUAUAAAGUUCAAUCCAGUGUACUACUAAAUAAAUAAAUUAUAAAUAUAGGAAAUACUGCUAAACAUGAAAAACAUGGAAAGUAAUACUAUUUGAGAAAUUGGCACUACCAAAACCUUAGGAAAUACUAUGCUGUAAAAAGGCUGCGCACAUGUCAAAAAUCUCCAAAAAACGGCGCACACGUGGGAAAUUAAUUUUUUUGGUUUUCCUCCAAAUUUUUUGGCGCCUAACAAAUUUUGAGAUUCCCUCCAAAACCAAAAAUUUAACUUUUUUCUUUUUCCUCUUUCUUUUUCGAUCUCUUCUUACAACUUUCUUUCAUCUCUCAUCUCUCUUCUCCCACAUCUAUCAUCUCUCUCUUCGACUCGAAUUCUCUCACAUCUCUAAUCUCUCUUUCAUCUUUCUACCAUGGAUAGACUGUGUGAGAGAGACCCCUACUACGUUGAUAUAAAAGUGGCGAAGAGAGCCAUUGAGCAAAUGGAAAUGGUUGCGAUGAUGGAAGGGAUUCCUAAGUUUUGUCCAUGUGGUGGUAGCAUUGUCGACACUCGAAAGGAUGAAAAGAGAUACUAUCAAUGCGAGAAGUUUAAGGUAUGUUGAUGUAGAGCACAAGUAUUUCAAGUUUGUGUAGAUCUAGAUCUAGAUAUAUUUGGUAUUCCAGAGUAUUUCCCGUUUUGGUAAUACUGCCUAGAACAAGUAAUACUGCACAAGUUUUUCUAGUUUUUGUAGAUCUAGAUCUAUAUUUGAUAAAUAUUUGGUACUUUGUAGGAUAAUAGAACUGAUUGUAUGCACAUCCGUAAACUUUGGGAUAAGGCUAUAGAAGAAGAGGUGAGUAGCUUAAGGGAGAGUGUUGAUUACAAUCAGAAUAAAGUUCUAAGUCAUGAGUAUCUCAUAGAAGAAAUGCAAAAAGAAUUGAAAGCCCACCGUGCAGAGAUUGUGAACGUGAGCAAAGUGGUAUUCCGUAAUCCUAUGGCUCCCAAGAAGUAAUGUGUUAUCCUAUUGUUCCUUAAUCUUAUUGUUAAUUUGCUUGUAAGACUUUCCCUAUGCUUUAUAAGACUUUCCGUAUGCUUUGUAAGACUUUCCCUUCGAUUGUAAGACUUCUCUUUGAUUGGUAAUACUAUGGUUGUUCAGUUUGAUAUUUCCAGUAUAUCUCUUAGUAGUAAUAGCACGAGGUAUUUCCCGUAUUAUUGUUAACAAUAUCAUAAAAUAUCCUAAUACAUUAAUUGAAUCCAAACAUAGUCUUACGAGUACUUGCGAAAUCCUAAAACAAAGUCAAAGUACAAGAAAUCAAAAUACAAAUCCGGAGAAGUUACACGAAUAGUUUUCACACGUCACUAGACUUUGCACGGGUUGAACGGCUCACUCGUUUGGGCACAACAGGAGCAGCCGCAUUUUCCUUGAUUGUUGAUUCCUCCUCAUCUGGUGGGUUCUGAGACAUCUGCAUUGUUAAUUUAGUUAAACCUUGGUAUUACGCGAUAUUACCAAUUAUGGAACAGUAUAUCCGGUAUUACCCAGAUUUACCUUGGCUUUCAUCUCAUCCAUAAAUGCUUCGAACGUUGCUUGUUUUUCCUCCAUUUCCAUAAGCGCCAACAAAGCUUCAUUCAGCUUGUCAUUGAUGGAAUGAAGCUUCUCCAUUACAUCAACUAACGUCGGGUCUCCCGGUCCAACAGCUGUGGGAACUUCCUCUUCAUUUGGGGCUUCCAUUCGUGCCUGCACAUCCUCGUUGUACACCUCUUCAAAUCUAAUUUAACGCCCUUGACCAAGACGCUUCAUCCAACUAUCAAUUACAACAUCGUGCUUAUCAACAUCAUCCUCUACUCCCGUGAUUUCAGCCAAAAGAGGUACUUCUUCAGCCUUCUCUCUAAUUAUACUCUCAAUGACCUAUGGAAAUAAUAGACAAUGAAAUAUUAGAAAGAAAUAAAAUCAUAUUUGCUCAAGGAAUAAUAGGAAAUACUAACCUCAGUUGUUCCGAGUACAUGGUUGAUUUGCUCAAGGGUAAACCCUUUCAUCUCGGUCCUCUUGAAAUUCACCUUGCACAUCCUUGGACAACCGGCAUGUGCACCAUCUUUUUCUUCUAUGAAUCUUUCCCUAAGUGAUGGAAUGGCCUCAAAUGCUAAAAGCUACACAAAACACAUGAAAUUUAAUUGUUAGCUUCAAUUACGAAAAUGUAACAAGGAUAAACAUGUGACUUACCUCAAGCGGCACACAGAAUCCGGGAACAGGCCAUGGUGACUGAGUGUUCGGGACGACACCGUUAAAAUGAUCCAAUGUGUGUGAGAUCGAUUUUAACAUGUACUCAAAUGAAUAUCUCCCCCAUGGAAAUGUCUUACAAAACGUAAGAUCACUUGCAGCCCUAACACAGAAAUCAUCAAUUGGACUAGCCCUUUCUCCAGUCUUAGUAGGCACGGCAAUGAUGCUUGUUAGAAAAUAGAGGACCGCCAUCCGCAACCUAUCCUUUGAUCUAGCCGGUUCCAUCUCCAUUAGCUUGGUUUUCACGUCUUCACGUCUAAUUACCCCGGUUUUGAAGUACCUGUUGGCGAAGUUCAUAUUACCAGCGCUCUGAUAAUUAGCUGGAUGGGCCUUGCAGUUGAAACUAAAGAUCAAAGCAUGCUCCCUAAUACCAUAGCGGAUGGGAACUCCAUUAACAACGAACCAAACCUCCUUCUUCUUCUCAAUAGAUGCCGUUUGAAGAAAAAACAUCCACAUCCCCAUUAACUUGUGGGUAUAUCCGAAAGGCAGGUGGUAGAUGUGCUUGAAACUCGGAUGCUCCAUAAAAUAAUUCUUCUCAACAUGCGUUAGAGGAUGUUCCAAGUCAGCGAAGGUCUUCAACACCUCCGAGAUAUAACACCUCGUUGCUAACUUCAUCUUCUUGGUAUACUCCGACGCCGGGAAGUACAUACCAAGUGGCUGCAUUGCCAUCGCUUCCUCCAUAUCCUGAAAAAAAAAAACAUUCAUUCAUAUAUCACUCAAUUGUAAAUAGUACUGCACAGUAUUACUCUGUAUUUCUCAGAAGUAUUCCCCGUAAUUACCAGUAUUACACAGAUACUCCUAUUUUACUAUGUAGUAUUUCUCAAAGUUACUAGUACUAACUAUCGAUAAAUCACAAUUAUAGUAUUACUCUAAGGUAUUACCCACAUCCGCCAAUAUUACCUAAAUAUCAACAUAGCAUUUCCCAAUGUUACUAGUACUGUCCACAGUUCACAAUUGCAUUAUUACCCAAUUAGAUCGGUAUUACGAAAUGGAAUACUUACCACAUUUGCGAUGUCCUCGUCUAUGGUCCUCUCCUCCACGGGUUUUGCCACUAUCACGUCCUUGUCUCUCUCGUCCUCGUUUCCCUCCUCCUCCACGGACUUUUCCACAUUGACGUCCUCGUCGCUCGCGGAGCUCCUCUCCUCCUCCUCCUCGAUAACGGCUAGGCCGUCAUCUUGUCUCUCCACCUCUUCCACGGGAUUAGCACACGCGAGUUCUUUGUUUGUCUCCGUCUCCUCUGAAUCGGAAUCGGAGCCCAAGGUUCGGCUACUCUUCCCUGAUUCUUCUUCUUCACUUGCUUCUUCUUUUUCAUUUUCAUCUUCCACCUCAUCAGUUUGCAUAUUCUCUUGAAUUUCUUCAGUAGGAAUAUGCUUCAAAGCAUCAUAAAACGUAGAAUCAUCAAGCAUCGGGCUCUCUGUCGUUGGAGCCGUCGUUGGAGCCGUUGUCGUUGGAGCCGCUGUCGUUGGAGCCGCAUUGGUUGCCAUCGCCGUCGCAGUCGUUUGUGCCGGCGCCUGCUCCUCAGCCGGCACUUUCUCUUUAUCUUUCUUCGCCGACGCCUGAACCUUCGCUUUCUUCGCCGGCACCUUCUCCUUCACUUUCUCCGCCGACGCCUUAACUUUCUCUUUCUUCAUCGGCGCCGACGCUUCUAUCUCCUUUCUUUUCCCUACCUCCUCCACGCGUCUUAGGCGGCAUGACUGAUUUCGAAUCGGAAAUAGAACGGAAAUACUGGUGAAAGGAAGAAGAACGGUCGAUUGAAUUUAAAGAAAUAUGGAAUGUUGCGGUUAAUUUCAGCGGUUACUAAGGAGAAGAAGAAGAAAAAUCGAAAACGGUUGUAAUGAGAAAAAGAAUGAAAUUCGAAUAAAGAGUAAAGGUUCCCUAGGCCCUGGAAAUAUUAGGUUUUUUUUUGGAUUUUCAAAUAAAGAGUAAAGGUGGUUCGGGUGGUUUGGUUCGGAAACGAACCAUGGUUUUUCUGGUAAUUAAUAGGUUCAGAUGGGGAUAUACUAGUAAUAUCCAUAUAUUUCAAAUUAAAAAAUAAAUAAAUUAUUUUUGUUUUUUACAAGGAUUUUUUGGCUUCCUCUUUGAAAAAAAGGGACUGGCCAGACGACCAUCAUAACUACAACAUAUUUAUAAACACAACAACAAAAAUGAAACUUGAUAAUGUUGUAAUACGAACAAGAAUCGAAGUUAUUUUCAGCACAUUCUUCGAUUUUUUUUCCUGGAAAACCGAAACCAACUCAACAUAACCCAUUGAAACAUUUUGUACCUGGCAGGCACUUGGUAGCAAUGCCUUUGUGUGUUUUAAGUCUGGUUUGAGAGGACCACUGUGGAAGAAAUGUCUUGGGCAGAGUUGAAUUGGGUUUGACCUGAAGAAAGAGAAGAAGAGUCGUUAAAAAGAGAUCUUUGGAUUUUCUUUAGUUCUUUGACAACUUCCACCAUCGUUGGAACUUCUUCACUAGGACCCAUGCAUCUCAGUGACAACAUUCGGAAAGCUUUCAUUUGACAAAGCUCUUCUUCGGAAAUUUGACCCAUCUUUUCUAUCAUCUUUGGAUCUGCAAUCUCUUCCAUUGAUCGGUCUUCCUUUAAUGUUGACAGCAAAUUUCGAGCAUGUCUUUUCAUCUUCCUGUCAAAUCCACCUUCACUUUCUUCUUCUUCUUCUCCUCGAUAAUGCUCGAAAAAGCUUUCCUAAUAGAAGCCUUAUACCCAUAAACAUUCCAAAGCCAAAGACAUCUGUUCUCUCUGAGACUACGCCACUGCUAAUGUAAUUAUCGGCAAAGUAACUAUAGAAUCCCUCUGCUGCCUCAACCUGGACAAAUGUGUCUCCUUCUGGAAUUCAGACGCAGUGAGAAAAAUCAGUCAGCUUCGCGACCCCAUCUUCAUCCAAUAAAAUAUUCCAAUGAGACAAAAUCCUAUAUACAAAGAGCCUAGGGAACGCAGUGUGAAGGUAAGCUAAAGCAGUAGCAAUAUCUUCAACUAUCUUCAUUCUCCUUUUCCAUGGAUGUUCACUUAUUUCUAAUUUGUAAUGUUUCUUAACACCAUGAUAAACUUUGACUGAAUCUUCAAACUCAAGACAACAUCCAACCAAUUUCAAAAAGGUUUUGUGACCACUCACCAUCGAUGAAACUGCUAUGUCGCGGCUCAAAAGAUCUACUUUGAAGAGACUCGACAAGCCAAGAUCUUUCUUAAUGAGAAUCAUGGGAUGGUUCUCGUUCUUACCUGAAUACCAGUGGUAGUAAAAUUCUUUUCGAGAAACAAGAUUAGUCGCUGAAAUUGUUGGUGGCAUUGCGGAUCUCAUCACCAGAGAAGAAUUUGAUGGGAUUGGAUUUGCCAUGGCCGAAUUCGAUGAGCUCUUCUAACAACUUGGCCCCUCUCUUGGCCACUCUACCGGAAAGAAAGCUUUAUUUUUCACAUAACUCAAAAUCUAAGAAUUAACGGAAAGAAAGCUUUAUUUUUCAAUCAAGUGAGCAAAAGUUUCGAGACGACCUCACACUUUCUUGAUAACUAAAUUCUUGUUGAGUGUUGACUAUUCAACACAGAUGUCCUUCUGCGAAAAUCAGAAAUAAACAUUUUAAUGGAUUUUGUGGAAGUUAGAGUUGGAAGAAUUGAUAUCAUCCUAUUAUAAUAAAUCACCAGUCACUUCCCAAAUAACUGCAGCUCUAUAUAUUUGACACUUGUCCUAACUCCUAAGUCUCAAAUUCUAUUAUUUUACUUUCUUUUAUAUCCUAAUUUAUGACAAUUUUAUUAUAAUAAAUCACAAAUAACUUCUCAAAGAAUUGGCUCUAUACCUUUAACACUUGUCCUAAGUCUCAAUUUCUAUUAUUUUACCUUUUUUUUUUCUUUUUAUCCCAAUUUACGACAAUAAAAAAAAAAAAUGUUAUUCUUCCCCAUCUUCUCCACGAUCACUAUAAUAUCCAAGCAAACAAAAUACAAAAUUUUUAAAUCUCAAAACUACAAAUUAUAAUUGGUUAUUUUACAAUUGGAACAGCCAUUCAAGCAUCUUCAACGUCUCCUUUAAGUUUUUUUAACAAAAAUUCUCAAUCACAAAAAUCAUCAUCAUCGUCACCAAAUAAUUUUGCAAAAUAAAUUGUUACACUGAUUUGACCGCGUAAAGCGCAGGUUAUUAAACUAGUUUUAUGAUAUUAAGGUGAUUUUCUACGAUUUUUUGGCCAUGCUUUAGUUAUCAAUUCAAAAUUAUAAACGGUUGUCUUUUUUUUUUAACCGUUGUUAUUAAUUGUUUAGUGAAUGGUCUUCAAAAGCUCACACACUCGGCUGGGAUUAGAUCAUCAAUUAUUACUAUAAAUCAAUCGUUAAGAUUCUCGGUUGCUACCUUUUCCAAAUUAAGAAAAUAUGUUCCGUAAAUUUAUUCCUCUUCUCUUUUUACCAAAUAUUUUUCAGCUUUACUGAUACUGAGGUAAGCGAUUUUUUUCUUAUUUGAUAUAGCAUCUGUGUAGUAUAUGCUAAAAGAAUGACGAUUUUAGGCUGUGUUGUGUGAUUUUAGGAUUUUAUUGUUUGUGAGUUGAGUCUCAUGUAUUAAUAAAGUUAUGUGUAUUUAUUAUUAAUUCUGUUGUGUUUAUUAUUAAUUGUAUUAUGUGUUUAUAUCAUAUUGUAUUUAAAGGCUUUUUAAAUGUACUUCCUCCGUCCCAUUAAGAUAGAUUUUUAAAGAAAAAACUGUCCUACAAAGAUAGACAUUUUAUGUUUUCAAUACAAAAUUUAGAGUUUUUUUCAUAUUUUUCUCAUUCGUGAGACUGGUCUUCUCCAUUAACUAAAAGUACAUAUUCCAACAUUCUCCUUCCUCCAUGCACCGAGAUUAUAUAAGUACAACAUUUUGUGUCAUCAUUUUUUUUAUUUUCAAAACUAAAAGAAAAAUGUCUUCUUCUUCAAAUUCAUUAAGUCUUUGGGAAACGUGAAAAAGGAAGAAAAAAACAAAUGAAGAAGGAAGAAACACAUCGUGAAGUUUAUAUCAAUCAUGAGCUGGACUUGAACCAACUUUCUAUCGAAACCACUAUAUUAACCAUGCUCAAGAUAAUGUUUCCAAAAUAUUUUUAAAUUUGUGUAAGUUAUUUUAAGAAUAUGGCGUAAGCCUUUUUUUUCUUUGUAAGUUGGCUUAAGAUUUUUGUAGUCAUGAUUUUAAUUUUCUAGUUCUAAUACAAUGAUCAUGAUAAUGCUAUAUUUAUUCAGAUCUUAUUGUAAGAUUAAUAUUUUUGGUUUGAAAUCUAAACCUUUUAUUUCGGAGCAUAGAGGCAAAGCAAAGAAUAUUCUUAUUGAUAUACAUUAACAAUCAUUUCUUUUUUCAUGAACUAUUCAUUUUUUUGUGGUGAUAUUGAUCUUGUUUUAUGUGUGUGUAUUUUUAGAUGUUUUGACUAUUAAAUAUUGUAAGUCAAAAAUAAAUUCUCAUAAAACAAAAUAAUAAUAAUAAAUUCUAAAACAACAGAUACAAUCAUUGAAAUAAACUCGAUUGACCAAAUUCAAUUAGGAAAAAAACAAACACACAAAUCUAAACAUAACAUGUUCUAAAAUAAUAAACUUGCUAAAAAUUCCAUUACACCUCUCACCAAAAAUAGAUCACAAGAGAUUUGUAUAGGUAGACGACCUUCUCUUUCCAAUGAACCCUUCUUCAUAUGUAGAAUUUUGUACUUAUUUGAGCCUUUGGCUUUCAUGAUCUCUAACAUGCAAGAUUGCAAAGUUAAAAAGAUCUGAUUCACCUGUUUGCGGGGUAUUCGUCAAAUGAUGUCUCUGCCGCCGACACAAGUUCUUCUACCGUUGUUGGACAUACAUUGUGUUGUAGUGAUUGGAUAGCAUUAAAAAAUCCAAGAUCCAAUAUAUUCAAAUCCGGUGAAUUCAGUGGUUGACACAUCAAGCGUAUAUCAAACCCAAACUGUGAAGCAAUUGCUUGAAAUUGUGCAUCUCUCGUAUCCACAUGCGUUCUUGCAUUAUCUUGUUGAACGAAAAUAGUUUUCCCAAAAUCUUCUCUUGACCACUUUUCGCGAAUUUUUGAGAUCACUUUUUCAAUCAAGCAUCUCUUUAUAUCCUCUCUCUUGAUGGAGACCAUCGGUUUCAAUUCCAACAUUCCCGCUUCUCUAUUUAUGCUUCGUCGCUUAGACAAUGAAGCACAAACCAAGCCCGCUAGCAACUUAAACCCAAGUAAAACUUCAUUGGGUGUUGAUUGUUAAUUAUUAGGAAUUAAUUGUUAAAAUAUUAUAAGAUGUGUUGUGUGAUGUUAUGCGUUAGGUUGUUAGCGUGAUAUACAUGUUGAUUUGCUUGACGUCUUUAAGACGUAUUUUUAAAUAAAAAUAUAAAGAUAAAUAAAAGAGAAUAAUGAUAUUAAAGAAAGGAUAAGAUUGAGGAUGUUGGACUGUAAUGGAACUGACGGGUUUAUUACAGGUCAUUAAUCGCUGACGAGCAAUGAGAGGAAGGAUCGAGCUACGGGCCGUGGUCUUCCAUAAUUAGGCUUGAGGAGCCAUAAGUUAACGUAUGUUAAAAACUAAGAAAAGAAAGUAAAAGAUCUUGCGGUGAGCAAGACGGAAGCUUGUCUGUUAUAGCUUACUAGGAAAGUUUAAGCUAUAUGCUUGUUGUUUGAGUCUAUGCUUAUGAAAUAGAAAUUGUGUGAAAGUAUAAUCGUGUUAUUGUGAUUCGGUGGACAGUUUUGACUGCCUUCACUGAAUAAUUAAUUACUCACCCCCUUUUCUUUUCCCUCAGGUGAGGAAGAGAAUGUUGAGUAGCUGCUCGCUUGGUGUUAUUUCGGGGACUUUGGGUUUUAUUUGAUUUAUCGUUAUUUCUUAUAUUUCUAAACAUGGUUUCUUUAUUCAUUUUUAUCCAACGAUUUUAAUUUAUUUAUGCUAUUAUUUUGAGACAAUUUAUUUCUGAUUCUUAAUAAAAGAAAGUUUCCCAAAAUUUUGAUAUUUUAUUUCAAGAUUUGUUUUGAAGAAAUUGAAUAAAUGAAUGGAAAGGAUGAAAGUACGCCGUCUCAAGGUUGAGAGAGACGGGUAUUAUAGAGGGACACCUCUGAAGACACUUUACACCAAAUGAGUAGUCGUAUUCAUUAUUUAUAACUAAUAUAUUUAUAUCAAUAUUAUGAGAUGUCAUCAGUAGCGGAGGCAGAAUAGUUAGUCAUAGGAGUCAUAUUUUUUUCUAAGCCAAAUACAAAAAAAAAAGUUGAGAAAAAAUGACAAUAUCAUAGUUUAAAAAAAAAAAAAAAAAAAAAAAAAAAAAAAAGAAGAUAAAAUGAGAAAGAAAAAAAUUGUUCUGGUAAAGUAAACACUAAAACUAAGGUAAUUUAUAAUGUGUUAAACAAUAAUAAUGAGAUUAACCUAGUUUAAUGGACUUAUGUUUUUAUUUAUAAAAUUAAUUGGGUUAACAUGCUGUAGGUUUUAUUUUUUUAUUAGACUAUAUUUGGAUAUAUAUAUUUGAUGGGGGUUAAUAAUACUUUAGGAAAAGGGUCAAUCUAUAAAAAUUAACAAAAAAUAAACAUAUUUUCUAAAAUCCAUGGAGUCAAUUGACCUCCAUGGUUAAACACUCCCUCCGCCACUGGAUGUCAUUGAUAAUUUAUUUUCUACCAUAAAAGUUUUGUAACAAUUUAUAGCCACGAAGACUUUCACGUUUUCGCUCAAUUCUCAAUAUUUCAGUUUUAUAUUAUUCUGAUUUUGGGUCCAAAUGAAAUUUAAGAUCACAAUUUAUGGUGUUACAAUUGACUUCUAGGUGUAGUUUUCAAAUAAAUUUGGAAAGUGUUUCACUUAAAUACCAAAGAAACGUACAUGCAUGAUGUUUUGAAUUCCUUCUUUUAUCAAACAUGUUCAGCUUGUCAUUAAAUUCAUUGAAAAGUUCACGUAUCCUUUUAUGUAUUUAAAGUUUAAUUUAUUUAAAAGUAAAUAAGUAAUGUUAAAAUUGUCAUUAUAUAUUAUCUCUUAAAUAACGUAAAAUUUCUAAAAAUUCAUAUUUGUGGGACGGAAGAAGUUUUUUUUUAUAAUAAUAAUUGUUUUUAUUUUCUUAUUUCAAAAUUUUUACUAAGAACAUAAAUAACUAAAAAUAGUUAUUAAAAAUUAUGUCAAUUUUUGUUAAGUUAGUUUAAUUAUAGUUGAUAUUUUAACAAUUUAUCUACAGUUAUUAUUAAUAUGCAAUCACAAAAAUAUAAAUAUAUAAAAAAAUAUAAAAUUGUAAAAUAAUUAAGAUAGAGUGUUGAAUUUUAUUAAACAAAACUAGUGUAAUGUUUUAAAAAGUAAGUGGGUGUUGAAUGAUAAUGUGGAAGAAAUAGAAAAUGAUGUGGAGUCUUAAAAAAUGAAGCUUGAAAAUAUUCUAACGGAAUGUAAGAGUAAGACCAUCUUCUGUUAAAGUUUGGUUGUUUGUUGUUAGCUUCCAGCAUCUUCCGGCACAUCUACAAGUAAAAAAUAGAAUGUUUACGAUUAAGUUAGGUUUCAUCUCUUAUUAAAAGAAAUGACCUUUAGAGAUAAAGUAAAAAAACGGUAAUGUUAUUAAGUACCAACAAAUAUCACCUGUUCAUCGGCCAACACCAACUCAAGCUUCUCGCUGGUACUCAUGGUAUAUUAGCACCACAAUUAUAGGAUUUAUACUUGCACUCAGCCACGCAGUUUUGUAUGGGUGUAAGUCCAGAUAAACGAAAGAAGCAACCAUAAAAAUGAUAAAUGUUUGUUUGUUGGUUAUAUGCAAUAGUUGCUUUCAGAUUUGGUGAUGUUAGAAGAUGCAAAUGAUGGGAUUAUUUAUAGUGGUUUAGAAGUCGAUAGGGGAUGGACAUGAGUUAGUAGAGAAAAUCUUGGUGAGCAAGCAAAAAAAAGAAAAAAAAAUCACCAUUAUAAAAUAAAAUAAAUGAUUUAGAGACAUAAAAAUCUUUUUAAUCUCAUAAAUUUCUGAAUUUCGUCCAGAUGUAUUUUACUAGACCUGCUUGUAAUUCAUGAUGUAAAUUUGAAUCACGUAACUCGGAUCUAGCACGCACAUGACUUGCAAAUUCUGGUAACACCUCAAUUGAGAAUGGUUGUGGUGUACUAGAACCACUUGCCUCAGAUUGAUUAUAAUCGGACCAAUGUUGAGCAUAUGUCUCUCGUUCAUCAUUAACAAUCAUAUUAUGCAAUAUGCAAUGUUGAGCAUUAGGUGAACGAUCUAAAACAUUUAAUUAUAUCAUUCAAUGUGCCUGGACACCUAAAAAAGGCAUGCCAGAUCUUUUGAUCAUGAGAUGCAACUCCUUCAAAAAUAACAAUGGUGGUUCCCUUAUCUCCCUGAGUAAAUUGGUCUUCCCACGCUGUAUGAAAUUUUUUCUACUCCUAGUGCAUGCAAUCAAUACUCCCAAUCAUCCUUGAAAACCCCCACAACUCGCUAACACGCAGAAUUCUUUGCAGGUUGUCUUGAGGCGGAGCUCUAAGAUAAUCUUCUUCAAUUUUGUUGUGACACACUCUAAUCCAGUUGAUGAUAUACCUCACUUCAAUAUGAGAUUAUCUUUUAUAAGCUUCGAUAUUGAAAGGAAAUUCUGAUUGAUCCAUUGGAUUUUUUAUUUUAGUAAGAUGAUCUUUGUGAUAUUAAUUCAUUAAUAGAAGAAUGAGUUUUCAUUUAUAAAAAAUAGAGUGGUUGAAAGAGAAGGAUAAGAGAAGGAUUUGAUUAAAAGAUCAUGUGGUUGAAAUCCAAUACUCAACAAUUUUACCCCAGUAUGAUUCACUUUUUUGGUUUUUGCCAACAAUGAUGUAUGUUCCAUAAUACAUCCACUUAAUAACACUCAAAUUUUGCUCAAUUCUCCAUUUGAGGCUUUUCCGGCGAGUAGAAGUUGAUACAUCAUUAUUUGGAGUAUUUUCAUUAGCACUGGUCAUACUUCCAAGAGUCAUUUGUGUUGAAAAUCCAUGAAAUUCAGGAGGCAGUUAAGAUGAAUAUGUCAUCAUCGAUCCAUAAUAUGGAUGAUAUUUUGGAACAGAUGAUGACAUAGAAAAAUUUGGUGGUAAACUAUAAUUUGGGACAUUUUGAGAUUGGUUGAAAGAUGGACUUUGAAAUUGAUAAUUAUUGGGAUUUAAAUAGGGAAAAGGAUAAUUGGUAGAAUUUUGGAUAGAAUUAUUGUUGGAAUUUGGAUAGGAAAAUGGAAAAUUUAUAAUAUUUGUGAAGGAUUAUUUUAGAAUCUAUUUCACAAAAUAAAAUAAAAAAUAGAAGCAAGAGUUUAUUAGAGGAUAAUAAAGAUAUUAUGAUAGAAAUGGUGUUUUUUGUAUGUAUCUGAAUGAAAUGAAUCAAGUUUCCUUUUAUAGAGCUUAAAAAGUAAUAAAUAUCCAUAUAAAUGUUUUAAAUUUUUUUUUAUUAUCUAUAUAUUCAUUUACAUGGGAUUUUUGCGUUAAUUCCCUUAAACCCGGCUUUAAUUCAUUUGGGUUGGGUUUCGAUCCGGUUUUAUCGUAUUCAGAUCUUGAAUAGGAUAUUUGGGUCGAGAUUUCUUUUGUUCGGAUCGUGUUUAGGAAUAACAUGUGCAUCUUUAAUCGAGUUAAAUUCUUCUUUUAAUCCACGUAAUUAUUUCCUUAGAUUCUGUCCACCAUAUUCGGCUUACUACGACUUAUCCUUAUAUAUUUGCAAUCUUAACAAUUAUAUUGCUACCUACUGAAUCUACAUAUACAUUUUUACAGGAAUUUUAGCAAUUAAAUUCUCAAGUUAGAACUUAUUUACAAGGAAUACCAUUGACAUUAAUUAUUAUCAUUUAAUUAAUAUUCCUAAUUAUUAGCAUUUUCUUAUUUAAUAUAUUUCCAUCAAUUCUAAUUACUUUUAAAAAGGAGAAAUCUUAGGACUUUAUUAAUAUUAUACUUUAUUAAAGAUAAAUACUAUAGUUAUUUAAAGUUUAUAAAAUGUUUAAAAUAUUUAACGAAAAAACUUUUAGAAUAUAUAUAUUAUAUAAAAUCUAUAAAAUUAAAUAACCAUUUCAAAAUAAAACUUUUAAAUUGAUUUGAAUUAUAAAUUUUUUGAUAAAAAUAUUAUUAAAACAAACAAAAAAAUGUUUAAUUUUACGGAACUGGAUUAGAUGGUGGAACGGGUUUAGAAUAUUAUAAUGUAUGUAUUUUAUAACAAUUAAAUAACCAUUUGAAAGAAAAAAUUUGUAUUAAUUUGAAUUAUAUGUUUUUUAAAUUAAAAUAUUAUUAAAACAAAAAUAACAAAAACAAAAUGUUUAAUUUCAUUGCACGGGGUUAGAUGGUAGGACAUGUUUGGGUCGACAGUAAUACGAGACGGUAUACCACGAGUGAAAUCCAUUAGAUAUGUUUAGUUUCACUCAACGGGAUUAAAUGGUAGGACGUGUUUGGGUCGAUAGUAAAAAGAGUCGGUAUAUCACAGGUGAAAUCCUAGAUAUAACAAUCAAAAUACAAUUAUAUUAUCUUAAGAACUAAACAAAACAAAUAAUAUUAAUAAAAUAAAGAUAAUUAAAAUUUAAAUUAUUUAGUUAUAAUCUAGAUUUUAAAUUAAUGAACUGUACAUUAUUGUUCAUAUAUUUUUAAACAGUAAAAAUCAAACAUAUUAAUUGUAUAUUGAAUAAUAUACAUAUAUAAGAGUUGUACAUACAUAAAAUACAAAAUAUGAAAUCAUAUAUAUUCUUAAUCGACUAAAUAAAUUAAAUUUUUAUUCUUAAAAGAACAAAAUCGUCAUGCAAUACAUCGCGGGUUAAAAUCUAGUCUUUCUAUAUUCUCGUUAUACUCUGCAACUAAAUAUACUCCCUCCGUCCCACUAAGAUGAACUUUUAAAAAAUUUCACAUUCUUUAAGAAAUAUUGUAUAAAGAUAAUUUUAACCUCUUAAUAUACUUUAAAAAUAAUAAUAAAUAUUUAUCUAAUUAUUAGUAAGGGUAAAACGGGAAAACAGUUUUAAAAUUUGCAUUGGAAAUAUAAAACUUCUAUCUUUGUGGGACAAAUAUUUUUCCUAGAAAAUUUAUCUUUAUGGGACAGAGGGAGUAUUUUCUAUCAUUCUAAAAAGUUUAAACUAUCAGAAAUCUUUGUGCCACUUAUCAUAUUAGAAAGAAGUAGCCUGUCCAUUUCCCACUGCCACCUUACAAAGCUUGUCUAUCUCCCUUAUGCAUGCACGAGGUAGUCUACAAGCUGCAAGCCAAAAAUUGCAUAUGCUCCACAAAACCCAACUGAUCAGAUUUAAACGUCCAGCAAAAGAAAGAAAUCGGGACGUCCAAGAUUCAAUUUUCCUUGUAAUCUUUUAUAACAGGGGAAGACAGCCAGAUGCUGUGAAUCGCUUAGUGACCAGAGGGAGUCCGAGAUACCUCACUGGUAACUGACCAACUUCGAAAGGGAACCUUUGGGUUAUCUCAUGGUGGACUGAAUCUUAAAUUCCCGUCAGAUACAUUGUCGACUUUUCCUUGCUUAUUUUUAGUCGUGAUAAUUUUUGCAAAAUCGUUUAACACAUGAACUAUUCCUCCUAUUGAUAUGACCUUUCCAUCGGAUAGGAUCUUAAGGUUAUCAGCAAAGCUCAAGUGAGUUAAGCCAAGACUUCCACAUUUCAGAUGGUAACCAAAUUGUCUAGCACCUGAAGCUUUAUCCAACAUUUUAGAGAGAACAUCCAUACUAAUGACGAAUAAGUAUGGAGAGAGAGAGCAUCCCUGUCUUUAACCUCUUGCACUGUUGAAAAAAACAACUAAUUCCCCAUUAACUUGAACCGAGAAGGAAGACGUAGCUAUGCAGAGGGUAACCCAAUGAAUAAAGACUGAGGGAAAGUCCAUGGCUGUGAGAACUUUGGUGAGGAAGUCCCACUGUACCGAGUCAAACGCUUUUGAUAUAUCAAUUAUUAGAGCGCAACGGCUAGAAAUUGAGUCAUUAUGGUAGUCCUUGACUAAUUCUGUCGCCAACAACACAUUCUCUAUCAAUAGACGGUCCUUUACAAACGCUGACUGAUUUCCCGCUAUGAAUUGAGGAAGAACCAAUUUAAGCCGGUUUGCAAUUAUCUUGGAGAUAACUUUAUAUGUCACAUUGCAGCAUGAGAUAGGCCUAUAGUCUUUAAUCUCUUUCACAUUUUUCUCUUAGGAAUAAGUGCUAAUAUCGUGGAGUUGAUGCCUUUAGGUAAGAAGCCUUCAACAAAGAAAGACUGAAUCGCCAAUACAAACUCAUCUCUGGUGAUUUCCCAAGCUCCUUUAUAGAAUUCUGAGGUAAAUCCAUCUGGUCCCGGAGAUUUAUCAUUAGGCAUAGAGAACAAAGCCUUUUUAAUCUCAGCUGCAGUGACUUCAUUGGUAAGCAUCUCUUUUUCUAUUUCCAUACAACAAAAGGGUAGUAACUCUUGAAGCUCAGCCACUGAAAUACCUUCGAAAUCAUUAGGAACUAGCUGCAAAAAUUCUCUAAAGAACCGUUCAGCCUCUGUUGUGAUUUCCUCCUCUUGUGCCGUCACAGUCCCAUGUUGGCAUUGAAUCUCUCUAAUUGUGUUCCGUGCCUCCCGCGUUGUAACAGCUCUAUGAAAUGCUUUAUUGUUUCGAUCACCAAUCUUCAUCCAAUGUAAUUUUCAUUUCUGCUUCAAAUAUAUUUCUUCCAGAGCUGCGACCUUGUCCCAAGUGUCAUACGCCUCAUUUUCUUCUUGCAUUGAGCUUGUGGUGGGGUUAGACAAAUUGGCCUCCUGCUUCUGACACAAUUUCUCAUACGCAUCUUUUGUUAAAAAACACAUUUUGAUUUUCUUAUAAGAAGUUUAAACAUUAUAAAUACUAAAACUUUAUAUUACGGGUGAAAUCUUAGAAUUAACGAGUAUGAGUCAAUAUUAAUAUAGGAUGAUAUACCACCUGUGAGAUCCUAAAAUUAAUAAUUAAAAUACAAUUAUAAAAUCUUAAAACACUAAAUAAAGUAAACAUUAUUAACAAGACAAAUACAACUAAAAAUUUCAAAUAUUUAGUUAUAAAAUAUAGUCUAUCUUACAUUAAAACCAAACAAAACAAUAACAUAUAUCUACAGAAUUUGUUUUAACUAAAAUAUAUGCAUGCGGUGUAUCACGGGUUCAUAUCUAGUAUGCUACAUAAUAAUUGAUUGUAAAUAAAUAAGGUGAGAUAAAAAUCUCCAAAAUCUCAAUUGCCAAUAACAUUACAACAAGUGUGUCUCUCAAUAAUUUCUUUCUUUUUUGAACAAAUAAUAAUAGAAAACGCUUUACUUGCGAGCUAGGUGUGUGAAACAUCUUCCAAUCAUAUGGUGAUACGUGGCAUGGGCGAACCCAAAUAAAUUUUUUUCUAUAUGUUGAAUAGAUUCAACACCUAAAAAUCUAAUGCAAAUUUUUUUUCAACAGGUCCAAUGCAAGCAGUUUUAGUCACAUGCAGUUAAAGUAUUAAAUCCUUCUACUUAUAAAUAUUUUAUUCCUACUUAAUAGCAUGUAUGUAUUUUGGCAAAAAAAUGCUAAAUCGGAGAUGAAGUUAAAAUAUAUAUUGUGCGCUCUAAUAUCAAAUUAAGAAUUAUAUUUCGUCCAAGCUACUUAGUACGUACAUGUUGUAUUCACUAGUUGUCCUUCCUUUCUUCUUUUCCAUGGUCACAAUUUGGUUCAUUGUUUCUUCUAAGGGAUUGAGCAAUCACGGUUUUUCGGGAGAGUGUUUUUUGGGCAAUAUCUCUUUAUAUAUUUAAGAAUGCUAAAAUGUAGUAUUUUUGUUGGUUCUUGUUUCAUUGCCAACAUUGUACGAGGCGUGAUGAAGGCAGUGAAGAGAAUAAGGGUAGUUUCGUAGACAUAGUAGUUGAAGAGCUAAAGCUAAGAGAAGACGAAUAACACACAUACAUGUUGCUAAGAAAGGAGCGUCUUCGCAAGGGAGAAAUCCGAGGUGAUUCGAGCUAGGCAAAGAGGAUGGAAAGAUGUAAUUGUGUUUUCAAAUCAUAUAUAUGAAAGGAGGUGACCUAUCUCCAUAUGAAUGACAUGUUACACCAUAGAGAUGAUAUUUUCUGUAUUCUCUCAUCUUAUUCGGAAACCUAAAAAGGUAUGGUGAAAAAUAUAAGAAUAGAAGAAUGAGAAAAUGGAGGCUUCUUAAACUAAUUUUAAAUUGUAUUUGCUUAAUUUAGGACUUGAAAAUAUAUUCUGUAUAUUUUGAAGAUUAGUGAAAUUAAUGGGUAAUUUUCUCAGACAUGGAAAUCUUGUUUUAUUGUUUUUCCUUUAUGACUUUGCAAAUAUAGUAGGUUUCAGGAAUUUUUAUGAACUAUUUUAUCUUCAACUAGAAUUAAUACUCCAAGUACUUAUAUAUAUAUAUAUAUAUAUAUAUAUAUAUAUAUAUAUAUAUAUAUAUAUCAUAUUUAAAUUCAUAUUAAUUUGAAAGUGUUAAAAAUGCCCUUGAAGAUGACAAACAACUGAAACAAGACAUUUGAGCAAACAACUUGAGAUGCUAACAAAUGGUUUUAGUAGACAUCUAAACAAAUCCAAAUUCUAAUAAGAUUUAUUUUGUUAGUCAUGUACAUAUACCCUAUAACCCUAAUAUGGAAACCAAAUAAAUAGGUCACUAUGGAUUAUGUAUUUUGACCAAAAAAAAAAAAAGAAGAAGAUGAAUAAUGUAUUUUUCUGUCUCUACAUACAACGAAACAUAGUUAAAUGUUUAAAGUUCAAAAUCUACUAGAAUUUGGCUACUCAGAAUUAUAAAAGAGAUUCAAGACAUUUAUGUAGUACCUCUGUUGAAACAUUUUUUGAGAAUUUAUAGUGAAAAGUGUAGUCAUUUUGUGAUCUUUUCCAGCUUCCUAUAUUUCAUGCGUUUUAGCUAUAUACUAUCCUACUAUAUUAUUUGGGAAGUACAUUUUAAAAUUUAACCUUAAUUUUUAUAACUAAUUACAUGACAAUGCCAUUAAAAAAAUCUAAUCAAAGACAAAAUUGUUUCAAAUCAUUAAGGUUAGUAAAAUCAUUUAACGAUAAUAUCCAUCUACUAAUCACACAAGUUAAUGGAUAUAUAAACGGGUUAAAUAUUUUUCUGCCAUUUAUUAAAAAUUUUCGUCAAUUCAUAUUUGUAAGAUUUUUUAAACAAUAAGAUCUUUUUGUUACCAGGUGGAGAAUAAGUUGGAACACACUUAUAUAGUUUCCUUUGAAAAUCAACAAAAUCUUAGCCACUAUAUCGAUUCCUAUCACCAUAUCUCGCUGUUAUAAUAUUUCUCAUCACUAUAUUCCGGUUAACAAGUAAUAUUCCUUGAGCUACAAUUUUUUUAAAUAAUCUUCUUUCUAUCAAAUAAUCUAUCUUAAACAAUUAACUACUAACUGAUUUAAUUAGAUCUUCAAUCUAUUGAAUUCACCCAUCAGUAUUAUAAAUAAGCAGAUAACCAUCAUGAUGUCUGUACCUUCUCACAUACACACCUAUCAAAAACUUAAAACCUUUCAAAACCUCUUGGUAUAUUCAUAUUAGGAUUCUUCAUUCAUGGAAUCAUUAUUCCAAGGGUUUUGGGAUGUCUUAUGAAAUAAUUUUGGCAGAAGAGUAUGUAAAAUUUUUUGAAUAAAAAGUAGUCAGCAAAACUUUUCUUUUUUUGGACUUUUUAGAUAAUUAAUUUAGAGAAUAGGGUUGGGCAUAUGAUUAACCCAUUCGAGUUCGGGUAGAACCCGUUCGAGUUUGGGAUUAAUGGGUAUUGGAUUUACUACUUAAUACGGUAAUUCUAAAUAUUCGGUUCGGUCGGGUCCAGUCGGUUUUCAGUCAGUUUGGAUAAAAAGUUUCAGGCCAUAAAAAUACCCAAAAAAAUAGAAACGGGUAUUUUGUAUGUAGAUAGCGGAUCCCCAAACAAAAAAAACUUUUAAAUUUGUUAAGUUUUAAGAAAUUUAGUUAUAUUUGAAUAUAUUUUACUAAAUUUUGACAAACAUAACAAAUGAUUUUUGAAUAGUUUAGUUGUUUUGGAUAUUUAGGUCCAACAUUAAUUGACAUAUUUAAAUUUUUUUUUUUUUUUGUCAACCGAUAUAAAUUAAAACUCAAAAGAGCCAAUCCCGAGGGAUAUUGUUUACAUACGUGACAUGAUGCGGUACGGUACGAAUCUUUCGUGCCAACUUAUCCGCUUUUACAUUUGCACUACGAGAAAUUAAAGAUAAAGAGAAAUUUGUGAAUUCUUCCCUAUCACUCUGCAACUCCUCCAAAUACACUGAAAACGCCGGCCAUUCGGUUGGAGAAGACACCAUCUUCACCAAGUCUGAACAGUCUGUAAAGAAAGCUACGUUCUGGUUAUCUGCUCCAAUCAUGCACUUCAUCGCCCAAAGAAGAGCUUCCAUUUCGGUAUGUAGAGGAGAUAGACUUCUACGAACGUUGGCGGCUCCCAUGGUUGGCGACUCUCCAAGAGAUGAUAGACAGAACGUUGGAGACAUAUUUAGAUUUAUAAUUAUAAUCUUAGAUAAUUAGAUUAUAUUAAGAUUAAAUAUAUUAAUAUUUUGGAUAUUAAAUAAAUGUUUGGGUUUUCGAAUACCUUUUUGGGUAACGGGUAAUCUCCGGACCAAUCGGAUACCCACGGGUUUACUAAAACUCUAUCCAAUAAGGAAAAUUUAUUAAAAUUCUAACCUGCCCUAACCCGAUUUUUUGGUUCGGGUAUUGGGUUGGUUAUCUGGUCUGUUUUUUUGUCAGCCCUAUUAAAGAUAAUCUAAUAUAGGGCCCAAUUAGGCCACAAAUAUAACCAAAAUACUAUACAAAUACUAAUUCUAAGUUAGGCCAAAAAUUAGAUCCUCUAUUACAAACGAAACAUGUUUCUUACCAAAACAACUUGUAUACAAAUUUUACACAUUUACUUAAAACUACAUAUGUUGUAUUUAUUAUAAAAAUGACAUUUUUAAACAAAGUUAAUCCAAUGCAGCAUUAUAUCCAAAUAGCAAAAAACAUUGAAAAAUAUUAUGGCAUCACUUUUACACUAUACUAUUUUUUAUGUAAUUCAAACAAAGUAUACAAUUUAGUUUAUACAAAAUAUUAAUGCCUGUGCUAUAUAGCACGGGUUAUGAUCUAGUCUACUUAACAUUUUUGAAGUACAAAAUAAAGAAUUUUUCGGGUCGGUUUUUUUUUUUUGUUUUACCCGGUUUUUUUGACCCACAUCCUAUUAUUUUAAAUGCUAAUCAAAUCUUACCAAAAUUAAUCGCUUUAAAUACGAUUUAGUUACAAUUAAUUAUUUCCGUUCAGCAAAGUAAAUCCGACUUAUAUGGAAUGAAUAUAUUAACAUUGCAAAACAAAUCCGACUUAGGUAACUUAGUAUUUAUCCGUUCAGCAAAGUAAUUACUCGAGUAAAUAUUCUAUUAACUACGAAAUCUUCAAGUUAAACGAAAUCAAAAUCUGCAUUCCACUACAUAAUUUUCGGAGAUCUUAAGAACUAAAUUAAAGCAUAUUCCUAAGCAUAAUUUAAAAAAUCUCGCUACACAAUUUCCUAAUAUCGCAAUAGUCAAAUCAUGGGCGAAGAUUGUGAUUAUCAUAUGUUCUCUAUAUAAAUAAGGAAUUUGAAUUGAAUUUCUAUGCUAAGCCAUUUGCCAUAAAAAUCUCAACAAAAUAUUGAAUUCAUUAUCUCUACAAUCUCGACAAUAGAAACUAUAUGAUUGUAUUAAAAAACGGAUUUGGUGCAUAUUCCUUGAAUAUUCGAUUAAGAAGAUUUGAUUUAAUUUAGUUAAGGUGCAAAUAAUUUGUUAUGGCCCCAAACCUAAUCAGAACUCGCCUAUAUAUAUUCUCUAGCUUUACCUCUCAUCACAUUAUCAAACACACAAAGCUCAUCACAUAUCUUUGGAUUUUGAGACAGAAAAUAAAAAAUAUGAUUCAGGUUGAGAGAGUUACUGAAUUCAUCACGGAACCACAGAAGCGAUGCAGUGGUUCAUCGGAGAAGCCUGAAACGGCUUCAAAAGUUUCUAGAGAAUAUCAGAAGAUCCCAAUCUCUAAUCUUCAUAGUGAAGAUUAAAUAGAGAGAGAGAGAAAGAGAGAUUAGAUGUACAUCACGUAAGAUUGGCGACAAAGGAAUCGCUAAGGGGUCGAGUGGUUUAAUCGGAAAUCGUAUUCGAUAAUAUCAAUGAAGCAAAAUGAAAGUAGCACACAUAGGUUUGUAUGGUGAGACUUGAGAGCAUCUUCGACCAUCAGAGAGGGACAACUUCAUGAGAAUCGAUGGAAAAAAAAAUUAGCUUCGAGGAAGAAGCAAUGGUUUGACGAAAAACUAGAUGGUCACAAAUGAUUGGUAGGCAUCAUGUUCAAAAGCUUAGCUUGCUCGAGAAGUCACCGACGAACGUGGAGUUGGCCGGAGUUUCUGUCAUCAAAACCGCGUUCAGUUUUGCAUUGCAGAAAUCAAAGAAGAUGCUUCGUUAUUAUCGAUGGGGAAGAAGCAUAAAAAAAAGUCUUCCUCUGAUGUUAAAACUAGGCCAAGUAUUUGUCAUGCCCAUAGAACUUGCAACAGAAAGCAACGUUAGUCUUUGGAUAGAAAACAAUUACGGUAUUUUUUUAUGUGGUUUAUACAUUACACUAAUUAUGUUAAAUAUUUUUCAAUAGUAUUAACGAGAAGCACAAUCUAUAUAUAUAUAUUUUUGGAGAAACUUUGGGUCAAAUCCUUUUAUAAUUUCUUAUUUAUACAUUUAGUCCUUAUAAAAUAAUCUGAUAAAAAUAUUGUCUUAAGCAAUUUUGACAAAUAAAAUUUAAGUAAAUAACAUUAAUUAGUUAUAGAUGAUUUACGGCAAUAUUUCCUAAGAAAUAAAAAAUUUGCGACAUUAAUGCUAUUAGAAAAGAACUAAAUAAAAAUCUUCAAUGGUAUAUUUCAUUAUUAAUUCGCUUUAUUCCUAAAAAUAUUUAAACAAAAUUUAGUCAUUGAUUUGCAAAUACAGAAAUUGUAUAUGUAGUUAUAACAAACAAAUAUUUUCAAAUCAAAUGAUUUUCUAUUUAAAUGCUAGAAAAAACAUAAUAAGUUUUUAAUGUCAUAUCUAAGAAAAUCAAUAAAUUGAUAUAUUAUUUUAACAAAUCAAUAUCUAAUGCUAACAAUAAAUUAAUUUGAUACACGUUUUUAAUUUAAUGCUAAUAAAAAAAUAAUUUGUUCUAACGCUUCCUAUUUAAAUGCUAGAAAAACGUAAUAAUUUUUUUAAUGUCAUAUCUAAAAUAAACAAUAAAUUGAUAUAUUGUUAUAACAAAUAAAUAUUCAAUGCUAACAAUAAAUUAAUUUGAUACACGUUUUUAAUUUAAUGCUAAUGAAAAUUAAUUUGUUCUAACGUUUUUAAUUAUGGCAUUAAAGAUUUAUUGUCAAAAAUAAAAUUAAAGUACUUGAUAGUUUGUAUAUAUAUUAAAUUACUUAAAAGUUAAAAUUAAUGUAUAUAUAAAUAUAAUAACAAUUAAAGUACAUAAACAAACAAUCUUUAGUUGUUAUAUACUAUUAGUAAAAAGAAAAAUGACAAAAUGAUUUUUAUUUUAACAGACGGGGUUAUAUGGUAAUACGGAUUUUAGUCGAUAUUAAUAAGAGACGAUAUAGCACGGGUGAAAUCCUAAAAUUGAUAGUCAAAAUAUAAUAAUAAAAUCUUAAAAAAGAAAACAGACAAUUAUUUAAUUAUAUAAUUAUACCGGACAAGGUUAUAUAGUAUGACAGCUUUUGGUCGAUAUUAAUACGAGAUGGUAUACAACGGGUGAAACCGAAGAAUUAACAAUCAAAGUACACUUAUACAAUCUUAAGAAUCAAUUGCCGGACAAUAAACAAUAUUAGUAAAACAAAUACAAAUAAAAUUUAGUUAUAAAUUAACCCGCGGACUGGAGCACACCGCGGGUCAUAUCCUAAACAAUAAUUUCUUUAGGAUAACUACAAUUCCAUAUAAAAAACUAAAUUUAAAACAAUUUUUUUAUAAUAAUGUUAUUUUAAACAAAACAAAAAACAAUAUAACAAAAAUGUAAUAAUGCACCAUAAAAUACACACUCUAUAUAAUGAUGCGUAUAAUAAAUAUGUUUUCUUAAAUAAAUAAAAUUAAAUCAAACACAUACUAAUAUAACAUCAAAAAUGAAUAGAUAUAAAAGGUAAGGUGAUAAAUUAAAAAUAUAACUUGAUUAUUUAGAUAAAAACGAUAUCGAAUUAAAAAAAUAAUUUAAUUUCUAACACAAAUAAUCAACUCGCGGUACACCGCGGGUCAAUAUAUAGUUAAAUUAAGGUUAGAAACUUAGAAUUAAGAGAUUUAUAAUUAUAACCGGUGCCGUGGUCAUGGACUCAUGCGUAUAUAUCGGUAUUUUAAAGACAAAAAUAACGAAAACGGCACGCAGUUUAUCCCUCAACACCCGAGACAACACUUCUCGUAGUCCGUGCUUAAAUUCGCCACGUAGUUCACUUUAUUCAACUUAAAAAAGCAUGACGUUUUGGUGCAUCUAUCUUCUUCUUCCCCCUUCCUCUCUUAGCUUCUCUCCCACCACUAAGGAGAAACGUUCCAAAGAUCCCUCUCUCAGAAAAAUCUCCAAGAAAACGAAACCCUAAUGGAGAAUCAUUCUGAUCCCUGAAACUUUUGGCUUGCGGCUGAAUCGAUUUCAAGAUUGCAAGUAUUGCCUAGUGUGAAUAUGCUGUUGCUGUGUGAUGCUUUGGUUAAGGAAGUGACUGUUGAAUGCUGAAAGGACGACUUGGAACCUUAUCUCGGGUUGCAUUACUCGGCAAACUUCGAUAUUUCUUUAUAUGAGAAACAAGGUUACGAUGAUUUCAAGAACUGUGCUAAUCUUUGCCCAAGAUUUACAUGUAAAUGGUACUGAUUGAGUGUUAAAAGGAAGAAGCUUCAUACAUACAAUAUACAUUGAUCGGAUAUAGUUUUAGAGUAGGUUCCGAGUUCCAAAACAAAGUGAACUAUACUGAGUAUUUCAACAUAGAAAAGUUAUAAAAUUGACAUCCUUUGCAAAGUAAAAGCCAUAUCAUAACAAAAAAAUCGGAACAUUUAACCGAAAACAGAGACAACCCACAAAAGAAGAAGAAGAAUGCUAAAAUUGAGAAGCACUGAUGGAGUUGGUCGAAGGGGACCAAACGGAAGGGAAUAUAUCUUCUAUAGACUGCUUACGAGUUAUGAAUUGAGUUGCGUCAACGUGUGAUUCUGAUCCGGCUGAAGGAAAGGCCGCUUCAUGUGAAUACGCACAUGGUUCCUUGUACGCCUCUCUUUCCGAAACGUUGGCUGCAACUUCGUAUGAUUGUAUUUGUAGCGGGCCUAGCGGCAUUAGUUUCAGAUGGCUGAUGAUUUUCUUGAAAUUUUUUGGUGGAAGCGAAUUAGAGAUAACAUACUUCGGAGGAUAUGCAUUUUAAUAACAUAUUUAUAAGUUUUGAGUAUCGCAUAUUACGAAAACGAAAGCAUUUGAAAGAUUCGAGAUUUCACUAUCGAAAGUGGGGGAAGACACGC
rnacentral:lncRNA from 1 species